AAAAGAAGAAACGAAACUUGCGACGUGGUGGGCUGCGACUUAAGACUGAUUGAGAGUCCUCUAUCCGCAGCUCCUCCGUCUUCCCCCCGAACCUUUUACCUUUCUUUCUUUCUUCUCCAAGACUAGCAAGCUGAGAUUUCAACCCGUCUCUCUAAGAAGCAGCGGCAUGCUUUUCCAAACGCAAUCUGCAAUUUAAUCAAACAGCCACCGAAUUUUCUGGAAUCCGGUCAACGCAGCGAUGCUCCGGAUUUUGAUCGGUCAACGCCAGCUGCUUACCUGAGCUCCAAAAGACCCAACAGUGAUGACGUCCUCCACCUCUGUUUCUGUUUGGCUGAUUCUGCUGUUUGGCUUCUUUCACCUCCACAAGCUUGCUGCCAAUGUCGAAGGUAAUGCUCUGUGUGUUAUUGAAUUUGGGAGUGUUUGGUUGUGGGAACUGGAAUGAACUAAUGAAUGAAUGAAUGACUGGAAACAUUCCCGAAGAGCUUGGGGGUUUGUCGGACUUGGUGAGCUGGAUCAUUACUUGGCAACCUUGCAAAACUGCGUUUCCUGUAUGAACCCCCAUCCUUUUGUUAGAUAAAAUCUGUCGUCUUUCUUUUUCAUUCGAUAUGCUAAUCUACUGUUUUUAAUUGUUCCUUUGGAGUGACUUUCUUCCUUAAAGUCCAUGAUAGCAUUUCGGUUAAACCCAAAAUAUUACUUGGGUUGACUAUGAUCUCCCAAUAUUCUGGUCAAGGCACAAUACAAAACAAGUGAUAAAACAAUACGAAAAAAGAACAAAACAUGGGAAAACACGUAAUUGGAACCUUGAAGGCAAAUAUUCCAUGUGCCGGAUGCAUACAAUUUAAAAUAUGACCCCUGUCUUCAAGAUUCAUAAGAAGGGAACAUCCAAUCAUUGCAAGUCCUGUGGGUUUCAUACACUUUCAUCUCUGUAAGAGGGAGGAAGAGCGAAAAGUUACUAAUUUCUCCGCUAUCAGAGAAUGCUAAUAACAUUUAGUUUUGCCAUGGAAUGCAGGGAUCUUUCAAAUAACAAUCUGACGGGGGAUCUUUUUCACUUUUUACUCCCAUCACAGGUUUGUUCUAAAGUGAAUUACAUGCAGGUUUUUACAACUUAUACUUUUUCACUUUUAACGGGCUGAGCCCAAAUCCUAAACUUAUUACUUUCCAGAUGGCUCUGUUUUGUUCCACUUCCAGCCUCUCCACAUCCAGGUUUUUACAACUUAUACUGUUCUUGUGAUAUUAACUCAAAUUUAUUCUGAGAGCUGGCUCUAUUUUGUUUCACAGACACUUGUGAUAUCAACUCCAGUCCAGUCCUAGUUAAUGUUUUUUUUGGUGUUUUUCUGUUAAAACUUUUCGUAAUACAACAUUAUUGUUGGAAUCACUGCUGUAAAGAUUUUAAGAAGAUGGUAGUUAGGAAAGGAAUAGAUUGAGGGUAUUUAUAUUAUUCUGAUUAGAAAGUUAAGUGAAUUUAUUGUUUUUGAUUUGUAAACAAAUUGCUUACAAAUAAUCAAAUUCUAUUAAACAAAAAUAAUUGCUUACAAUAAAGUAUAACUAUAAAUAUCAUUGUAAAAUGUAUUUUAUAAAUAUUUUUAAUUUAUGUUUUUUAACGAAUUGAGAACGAAUCAAACUGAAUAUCAUAUUGUCUAUGUGUCUUUGGCAAAUGAUACUACAGGUUACUACCGAAUUUCGUACCUUAACCGAAUUGCGAACUCGAACCAUACCCUGUAUGUGGCAACUAUGGGUGCCAAGUACUGGGGCUAUUUCUGGAGGGGGGCUAUUGCUGGAGGGGUUGCUGCUGGUUCUGCUUUCCUGUUUGCUGCACUUGCAAUUGCAUUUGCUUAUUGUCGACGAAGAAAAUCACAGGAUUAUUUCUUUGAUGAACCUGGUUAGUGAACUAUUAAGAGUAAUAUAGCUUGAUCAAGUUGGCAUUGUAUGGGAUGCAGGUUUCACUCAUCUACUGUCUUUGCAGCUGAGAAGGAUCCAGAAGUUCAUUUACGACAGUUCAAAAGGUUCUUUGAGCGAGCUACAAGUUGCGACGGAUACCUUUAGCGACAAAAAUAUUCUUGGUAGUGGUGGAUUUGGUAAGGUUUAUAAAGGACGCUUAGAUGAUGGAACUCUGGUUGCUGUAAAAAGACUUAAAGAGGAGAGAACCCAAGGCGGGGAGCUACAGUUCCAAACAGAAGUUGAAAUGAUUAGCAUGGCUGUCCACCGCAAUCUGCUUCGUGUGCAUGGUUUUUGCACGACACCAACAGAAAGGCUGCUUGUAUAUCCUUUUAUGGCCAAUGGAAGUGUGGCAUCAUGUUUAAGAGGUACUCAUCUAAAUUGUUUGCUGCGUUGAUGAAUCUUUUUGUUUUCAUGACAUUAAAAUUUUUUUGGAUUACAUUGAUAUAAUGAACCUGACCAAUUUGGUUUGGAGUAUGAACACUGAUUUUUUUUUUUUAAUGUUUUUUUUUUCCUUCAAUUUUAAGUUAUCUUCUCGAUGCUGAUUUUAUUUUGUUUAAUUUGAAAAGGAUGACAAGAUGACCCUUUUUUGGGUAGGACGGGUGGUAUGAUAUGUGUUAGACCACAUUACCUGUUGCUUGUAAUUUGAAAUUCUCCUCUCAUAAGUAUGUGGAUAUAUUAUUGUAGAUCGUCCAGAAGGACAACCUGCACUUGAUUGGCCAAUAAGACAACGCAUUGCAUUGGGAUCUGCAAAAGGUCUUGCUUAUUUACAUGAUCACUGUGAUCCAAAAAUUAUUCACCGUGAUGUGAAAGCAGCAAACAUAUUGUUGGAUGUGGAAUUCGAAGCAGUUGUUGGAGACUUUGGGUUGGCUAAACUCAUGGACUACAGGGAUACACAUGUUACCACAGCUGUACGUGGCACAAUUGGUCAUAUAGCACCAGAGUACUUUUCAACUGGAAAAUGUUCCGAGAAAACUGAUGUUUUUGGAUACGGAGUCAUGCUUCUUGAACUCAUCACUGGGCAGAGGGCUUUUGAUCCUCAGCUUGCGAGUCAUGAUGACCCCAUGUUAGUUGAUUGGGUAUGCAUUUACAUCUUUCUGUUUGUGUAUGUAGCUAAUUUAUUGUUAUAUGCAAGAUUAUUAUUUCUUGGGAGCAGCCUCUCCAUAAAUGGGGGUAAGGCUAGCCGACAUUCACCUCUUCCAGACCCUGCGUAAAGCGGGAGCCUUGUGCACUGGGUACGACCUUUAUGCAAGAUUAUUAUUUCCCAACAACAUUUGCAUUUCCUUAGUAAUUAGCUUUUAGAAAAUAAGUUUGGUUUAAUUAGCUUUUAUUAGUUAGAGUUGUGAUUAGCUGUGAAGAUUUGUUUAUCUUUAUUUAUAACAAUCUAAGGUUUAAGCUGUCAGAGUUAAUUUUUGCAUUUCCUUAGUAAUUGUUACCAUUCCUGUUUGAUUAAUGUAAAAAUCACUUGUCUUUUUGGCCCGAAUGUUGAAAACAGUAAGAAUCAUGGAUCAAAGAAAAGAAAUAAUACUUAACUUUUAGAAAAUAACUUUAGUUUAAUUGGCUUUUAUUAGUUAGAGUUACGAUUAAGCUGUGAAGAUAUAUUUAUCUUUAUUUAUGACAAUCUAAGGUUUAAAUUGUCAGAGAUUAAUUAUUACAUUUCCUUGGUAAUUGUUGUUAGUAUUGUUGUUGCUUCUUUUGCCAAUGUAUUGGCCUUGCUGUGAUUUCUUGAAGAAUUUGGCAUGUGUUUUGUAUCGAUCCUAAUUUCCUCAUCAUCUCUUUAUUCUCGCUAUCUUGGCCUCUUGCUUCUUUCUAUUCUCUCUAUUUGCAUCUUUGUCAAUUGUUAUAUUUGAAUGACGAUGCAUUUUUGUAAGCUAUUUGAUUUUCUGGAGAUACUGCGGCCCUUCAAAUUUUGAACAUUACAACACAUUUUCACUCUCCUAGGUGCCCUCACCUUUUGUUUCAAAUUGUAGAACUAUCUGACGUUUUCCGUUUUAUUUUAACUAAAACAAUUAGGUCAAAAGACUACUGAAAGAUCGAAGGUUGGAAACACUUGUUGAUGCUGAUCUAAAUGGUAAUUAUGUUGACGAUCAAGUGGAGCAGCUCAUCCAAGUAGCUCUACUGUGCACACAAGGCACCCCAGGGGAACGACCCAAGAUGUCAGAGGUUGUUCGGAUGCUGGAAGGCAAUGGUUUGGCUGAAAGAUGGGAGGAGUGGCAAAAAGAGUAGGUGUUCCACCAAGAUUUCAACCCUAUUCAUCAUCCAAGUACUAAUUGUAUCAUAGACUCAACUUUUCAUAUUCCUCCUGAUGAGUUGUCCGGUCCCAAAUGAUAUGCUCGUUGGUUCUGUCCCCUGUAUACAUCUAAGAAGCCUUCAGAGGACUGGAGAAUGUCCAUUUCGUAUUUCAGUGAUACCACAUUUGUGCUUAUGUUUUGUCUUUGUUUUCAAUUUUGGUUUUGUCUUGCGUAUUUUUUAGAUCAUAAAAUGGAGCUGAUGCUAUUGUAAUUUGGGAUGUGCUAUCCACACAUCACUUUUUACUUCUCACACACCCCUUGUUAAUUUCUGUCCGUUGAUCUUCUUCAAUUCAUCUGAUCCGACGGCCGAAAACCAAAAAGGUGUGGGAGAAGUAAAAAGGGGUGUGUGGAUAUCACACCCCUUGUAAGUUUUAUAGGGUCAACUGGCAUUACGAAGUUAUAUGGUGCUAGCAGGAAUUAGGAAGGGCCAUAAAAGCACUCAUUCCUGAUGAUUUAUGUAUCUAUCUAGAAAUUAGUCUAAAUUGUCGAGUAAAUAAUCAUUCUAAACUUAUAACCAUCUAUAUAUUUUAGUGUUCCUAUAGAUCCUGUAGAUACGAUAAGGACACUAGGUCAAGUGCAUGGCUGGUUGCGGAUGGAUAGUGUUUGAAAUUUCAUUGUGAUCAUUGCAAGUGCGAAUUUGUGGCACCACCUUUAUAAGUACUUGAACUAAGGCAGUAGGGGAUCAGGAGAUCACUUUGUGUCAUUCCAACACAGGAAUUCGAGCUUUGUCUAAUCUCUUUAGAGUAUCGCCAAUGGGGAUCCCUCUACUAUCUUUGAGGAUUUAUUUAGGACUAGCUGUAGGGUAAGACCUAAACCUAAAUAUUUGAGUUUAAACAAAAUAAAAAUGCAAUCUAAUUGUGGGACUUUUUUGUUUUUUAUGAACAAAAAAAUAUUAUCUGGAUUGAGUUAAGCCUUAUAGUGGGCUAGUAAUGACCUCUCUUACAUGUGAAGAGGAAUACUAUUAAACCGUAGUACUAGGUAAUAUCUAAUGGUUGGACUUAAACCUAAAAGGUUUGGCUUUUGACCAAGCUAAACCCAAAUUUGGGUUUGUAUUUGGCUGACCCAAAUUUUUGGGGGCCCUACCUUUUUUUCUGAAAAGCAACGGGCCAAUGAUUUAUUGAAGUGGCCGCGGCAUAUGGGUUAGGGGUGGUUCGGUAUGGGAUCCCAUACCAAAACACUUGUCCCGAUUCUCAAACCGAAAUUUUCGGGAAUCCCAAUUUCAAUACCGAUCCCAAACCAAAUUUUCGGGAAUCCCAAUUUUUGGGAAUCCCAAAAUAGUUUCGGGAUUUCGGGACAAAUCGGGAAUCCCGAAAUGGUUUUGGGCUUUUGGGCUUUUAGACUAAAAUUUGACAUAUUAUGCUUUUAGGCCCAAUCUGCCAAUUUGUUUCUACAAAUCUGCCAAUCAAAUCUGCCAAUCAAAUGGCAAGGCUUGUUUCUACUAAUCUCUACUUAAUAUUAAUACUAACACUUAGUUUUCAUUUCGAUGCAGAGAGUGAUGGAUCAACUGCAAAAUAGUGAAAGAAAACUAAGAAGCUCAAAACUGUACACAAAAACCAAAAUCAAGCAAAACGAAGAAGCUCAAAACUGAACAUUGCAAAGUAAACGCCAGAAACUGAGCACAGAAACUGAGCAAGCAUGCCAAGAAUCAAAGCAAACCCCACAAGAGUCAAGAAAUGAUAAUUGAGUCAUUCGAAGAGUACCCAGACAAGUUCUGUGCACAAAUUUGACAAUAUGGCUAGCAAAUAGCAAGCAAACAACAAAUAAUUAACAAGAACUAGUAACAGUGAGCAGAAUCAUAAGGUCUGAUUAGCUCACCUUCAUCAAGCACAAUUCCGACGUUCAAUCCCUUGAAAACAUCAGAUUCAGCCAGCUUCUCAGCACCGUCGUGUCCCCCAAUCUCCUCAUCAGGACCAUAUGACAAAUAAACAGACCUUUUGGGCUUAAACCCAGAAGCCUUGAGCCGUCGAAUCGCCUCCAAGUACUGAAUCCCGACGCACUUCAUGUCCUGGGACCCCCUGGCGUAAACGUCGCCGUUCGAGUCCAAGUUGGCCGAGAAAGGGGGGGUGUAACCACUUGUCGUGCUCGGCCGGAACGAUGUCGGUGUGGGAAUUGAGAAGAACAGAGGAGAGAGAGAUGAGAUGAGGGCUUGUCGGCUAGAUGAGGGAGAGAUCAGAGAUGAGAGAUUAGGGCUCGGCUAUUCGAUUUGAUAGAAACAAUGGAACGAAAGUGAAGUUUGUGAAAUGGUAUUCUGACCUAAAAACAUAUGAACGGCAAAGAUUAAAUCCAAAACAAUGAACGGUUGAAAUAAUUCUUUUAUAAUUAAAAGAAAAAAAAAAAAUAUAUAUAUAUAUAAUAUUUAUUUUCGAUUCGGUCUGGGAAUACCGAAAAUUUGAGAUUCAAAACCGAAUCCCAUACCGAAAAUAUCGGUUUGGUUCGGGAUUACAUACCGAAAAUUUCGGGAUUUUUGGUUUGGGAUUUUUUUGGUUUGAGAUCGGGAUUUUUUUGGUUUGGUUUGGGAUUUUUGGGAUUUUUUUCCGGGUUCCUCAUGCCAGCUGCAAAACAAUUUCAGGAAUCAGCUAAAAAGUCAAAAAUAAAUAUAAAUAAAAGAAGAAACGGAACUUCCAACGCGGUGGGCUGCGACUUUGCCUGAUUCUGCUAUUUAUUUUAACGAAAAAUCAUAUUUUUACAUUAAAAAGUCAAUCAUGAUACUUUACCUUUUAUUUUAUUAUUAUCGUUAAAACUCAAAUUUUUCAAACUAUUUUCAUUAAUUUUUCUUUAAAAUAAUUUAUAAUGCAUAAAACCAGAAAUCUCAUUUUGAGUGAGAAGUUGCAUAAACAAUGUCAGGAAUCCGCUGAAAAGUAAAAAAUAAAUAUAAACAAAAGAAGAAACGAAACUUCCGACGCGGUGGGCUGCGACUUAGACUGAUUGAGAGUCAUGUAUCCGCAGCUCCUCCGUCUUCCUCCCAAACCUUUUACCUUUUCUUUCUUUCUUCUCCAAAACUAGCAAUCUGAGAUUUCAACCUCUCUCUCUAAGAAGCAGCGGCAUGCUUUUCCAAACGCAAUCUGCAAUUUAAUCAAACAGCCACCGAAUUUUCUGGAAUCCGGUCAACGCAGCGAUGCUCCGGAUUUUGAUCGGUCAACGCCAGCUGCUUACCUGAGCUCCAAAAGACCCAACAGUGAUGACGUCUUCCACCUCUGUUUCUGUUUGGCUGAUUCUGCUGUUUGGCUUCUUUCACCUCCACAAGCUUGCAGCCAAUGUCGAGGGUAUGUCUCUGUGUGUUAUUGAAUUUGGGAGUGUUUGGUUGUGGGAACUGGAAUGAACUAAUGAAUGAAUGAAUGACUGGAAACAUUCCCGAAGAGCUUGGGGGUUUGUCAGACUUGGUGAGCUUGGAUCUUUACUUGGCAACCUUGCAAAACUGCGUUUCCUGUAUGAACCCCCAUCCUUUUGUUAGAUAAAAUCUAUCGUCAUUCUUUUUUAUUCGAUAUGCUAAUCUGCUGUUUUUAAUUGUUCCAUUGGAGUGACUUUCUUCCUUAAAGUCCUUGUGCCGGAUGCAUAUAAUUUAUAGUAUGAUCCCUGGUUUCAAGAUUCAGUCAUUGCAAGUCCUGUGAGUUUCAUACACUUUCAUCUCAGUAAGAGGGAGGAGAGAGUGAAAAGUUACUAAUUUCUCUGCCAUCAGAGAAUGCAAAUAACAUAUAGUUUUGCCAUGGAAUGCAGGGAUCUUUCAAAUAACAAUCUGACAGGGGAUAUUCCAGUUAAUGGAUCGUUUUCACUUUUUACUCCCAUCAGGUUUGUUGAAGCAACUGUACUCUUUUUCUUUAACUUUAGGGACAAAAAUAACAAUCUGACAGGGGAUACACUUUCAUCUCAGUAAGAGGGAGGAGAGGGUAAUAUAGCUUGAUCAAGUUGGUGUUGUAGUUGUUGUAUGGGAUGCAGGUUUCACUCAUCUACUGUCUUUGCAGCUGAGAAGGAUCCACAAGUUCAUUCACGACAGCUCAAAAACUUUUCUUUGCGCGAGCUACAAGUUGCAACAGAUACCUUUAGCGACAAAAAUAUUAUUGGUAGAGGUGGAUUUGGUAAGGUUUAUAGAGGACGCUUAGCUGAUGGAACUCUGGUUGCUGUAAAAAGACUUACAGAGGAGAGAACCCAAGACGGGGAACUACAGUUUCAAACAGAAGUUGAAAUGAUUAGAAUGGCUGUCCACCACCGCAAUCUGCUUUGUCUCCAUGGUUUUUGCAUGACACCAACAGAAAGGCUGCUUGUAUAUCCUUAUAUGGCUAAUGGAAGUGUGGCAUCUUGUUUAAGAGGUACUCAUCUAAAUUGUUUGCUGCGUUGAUGAAUCUUUUUGUUUUCACGACGUUAAAUUUUUUUUCGAUCACAUUGAUAUAAUGAAUUUAAAAACCUGACCAAUUUGGCUUGGAGUAUCAACACUAAUUUUUUUAAUGUUUUGUUUCCUUCAAUUUUAAUUUACCUUCUCGAUGCUGAUUUUAUUUCUGUUUAAUUUGAAAAGGAUGACAAGAAGACCCUUUUUUUGGGUAGGACGGGUGGUAUGAUAUGUGUUAGACCACAUUACCUGUUGCUUGUAAUUUGAAAUUCUCCUCUCAUAAGUAUGUGGAUAUAUUAUUGUAGGUCGUCCGGAAGGACAACCUGCACUUGAUUGGCCAAUAAGACAACGCAUUGCAUUGGGAUCUGCAAGAGGCCUUGCUUAUUUACAUGAUCACUGUGAUCCAAAAAUUAUUCACCGUGAUGUGAAAGCAGCAAACAUAUUGUUGGAUGAGGAAUUCGAAGCAGUUGUUGGAGACUUUGGGUUGGCUAAACUCAUGGACUACAAGGAUACAUAUGUUACCACACAUGUAUGUGGCACAUUUGGUCAUAUGGCACCGGAGCACUUUUCAACUGGAGUGUCUUCCGAGAAAACUGAUGUUUUUGGAUACGGAGUCAUGCUUCUUGAACUCAUCACUGGGCAGAGGGCUUUCAAUCCUCAUCUUGCGAGUGAUGAUGAUGUCAUGUUAGUUGAUUGGGUAUGCAUUUACGUCUUUCUGUUUGUGUAUGUAGCUAGUUCAUUGUUAUAUGCAAGAUUAUUUCCCAACAACAUUUGCAUUUCCUUAGUAAUUAGCUUUUAGAAAAUAAGUUUGGUUUAAUUAGCUUUUGUUAGUUAGAGUUAUGAUUAGCUGUGUAGAUUUGUUUAUCUUUAUUUAUAACAAUCUAAGGUUUAAACUGUCAGAGAUUAAUUAUUGCAUUUCCUUAGUAAUUGUUACUAUUGUUGUUGCUUCUUUUGCCAAUGUAUUGGCAUUUUGUGAUUUCUUGAAGAAUUUGGCAUAUGUUUUGUGUCGAUCGUAAUUUCCUCAUCAUCUCCUUAUUCUCGCUAUCGUGGCCUCUUGCUUUUUCCUAUUCUCUCUAUUGCAUCUUUGUCUUCUCUUUGCAUGAUAUCAAUAUUUGAAUGACGAAACAUUUUUGUAAGCAGUUCGAUUUUCUGUAGAAAACUGCGGUCCUUCAAAUUUUGAACAUUACAACACGUUUUUGUUCUCCUAGGUUCCCGCACCUUUUGUUUCAAAUUGUAGAACCACCCGACAUUUUCUGUUUUAUUUUUCCUAAAAAAAUUAGGUCAAACGACUACUGAAAGAACGGAGGUUGGAAAGACUUGUUGAUGCUGAUCUAAAUGGAAAUUAUAUUGACGAUCAAGUGGAGCAGCUGAUCCAAGUAGCUCUACUGUGCACACAAGGCUCCCCAGGGGAACGGCCCAAGAUGUCAGAGGUUGUCCGAAUGCUUGAAGGCGAAGGCGAAGGUUUGGCUGAAAGAUGGGAGGAGCGGCAAAACGAGGAGGUGAUCUGCCAAGAUUUCAACACUAUUCAUCAUCCAAGUACUUGGAUCAUAGACUCACCCUCUCCUAAUUUUGUGUUGUACUAUUUCUUUGAGUUUGAAGAAAUGGAUAAAAAGAAUGACAUGUGAUAGAGAGUUCAUCAUAUAACUUCUGACUUUAAGGAUUUUUCAUUUAGUUCUGGUUCAUGUUGCGCAAAUAAUAUUAGGUAACACUGCUACUGGGGCUAUUGCUGGAGGGGUUGCUGUUGGUGCUGCUUUAACGUUUGCUGCAACUGCAAAUACACUUGCUUAUUGGCGACGGAGAAAACCACAGGAUCAUUUCUUUGAUGUACCUGGUUAGUGAACUAUAGGAGUAAUAUAGCUUGAUAAAGGUGGUGUUUUAGUAUGGGAUGCAGGUUUCACUAAUCUACUGUCUUUGCAGCUGAGGAGGAUCCAGAAGUUCUUUUAGGACAGCUCAAAAGGUUUUCUUUGCGCAAACUACAAGUUGCAACGGAUAACUUUAGUAACAAAAAUAUUCUUGGUAGAGGUGGAUUUGGUAAGGUUUAUAAAGGACGCUUAGCUGAUGGAACUCUGGUUGCUGUAAAAAGACUUAAAGAGGCGAGAACCCAAGGUGGGGAGCUGCAGUUUCAAACAGAGGUUGAAAUGAUUAGCAUGGCUGUCCACCGCAAUCUGCUUCGUCUGCAUGGUUUUUGCAUGACACCAACAGAAAGGCUGCUUGUAUAUCCUUAUAUGGCUAAUGGAAGUGUGGCAUCAUGUAUAAGAGGUACUCUUCUAAAUUGUUUGCUGCGUUGAUGAAUCUUUUUGUUUACACAUGGGUAAAUUGCAUUUUACACCCUCAGGUUUGAGUGUAAUUGCAACCUCAUACAACAUUUUAAAACAUUUCAAUUUUAUUUAUUUACUUAUCAUUUUUAGCAAUUUCAUACAUCUGAUAGUCAAACCGUCAGUUUGACUGUUAAGGGAUGACAUGGCAAAUGUGAGGUCUACAUUUUGUUGACGGGGAUGCCAACUAUGAUUCACGUGGAAUAAAAACAAAUAAAAAGGAUUAAUAAAUAGAAAAUUAAUUUUUUUUUAAUUUAAAACUAAAAAAAUAGAAAAGAUUAAAAAAAAAAAAUGGUGUUGUUCAUCCCUAUCCUGCUCUCACCCCGUCCCCGCAUUCUUCAUUUCCCCCCGCCCACCAUCGCCACCUUCCCUUUCCUCAGCCACUGCAAUGAAUAGACCACAUUACCUGUUGCUUGUAAUUUGAAAUUCUCCUCUCAUAAGUAUGUGGAUAUAUUAUUGUAGAUCGUCCCGAAGGACAACCUGCACUUGAUUGGCCAAUAAGACAACGCAUUGCAUUGGAAUCUGCCAGAGGCCUUGCUUAUUUACAUGAUCACUGUGAUCCAAAAAUUAUUCACCGUGAUGUGAAAGCAGCAAACAUAUUGUUGGAUGAGGAAUUCAAAGCAGUUGUUGGAGACUUUGGGUUGGCUAAACUCAUGGACUACAGGGAUACACAUGUUACCACAGCUGUACGUGGCACAAUUGGUCAUAUAGCACCAGAGUACCUUUCAACUGGAAAAUGUUCCGAGAAAACUGAUGUUUUUGCAUACGGAGUCAUGCUUCUUGAACUCAUCACUGGGCAGAGGGCUUUUGAACUUGCUCGGCUUGCGACCAAUGAUGAUGUCAUGUUACUUGAUUGGGUAUGCUUAUACGUGUUUCUGUUUCUGUUUGUUGCUAAUUUUCUGUUUUCCUUAAUAUGUUUCAUAUUUUAUUAAAAAAAAAAGACAUAAUGUUGUUGAAAUUCAACGAUCUAUUGUGUCUCUUUGUCCAAAUCUUGGAAAUUAUGUUUCAAUACUCAUUUUUAAAGAAAUGUUAUAUAAUAUAGUGUGAAUUAGGUGUAUCUCUCGAUACCAAUGUUGCUAUUUAUUUAAGCCAAAAAUAAUGGGUCUCGACACCUAAUCACUUUAUUUCAAACCGCUAAUCUCAUAUGACAUUCUUAAUCAUUGUAUAUGGAACAUUUAAAAACCUAUUACUCAUCAUAGAGCUGCCAAGUUCCUCUCUAAUUAAUGUAAAAAUCACUUAGUCUUUUUUGGCCCGAAUAUUGAAAACAAUUAGAAUCAUGGAUCAAAGAAAAGAACUAAUACUUAACUUUUAGAAAAUAAUUUUAGUUUAAUUACCUUUUAUUAGUUAGACUUACGAUUAAACUGUGAAGAUUUAUUUAUCUUUAUUUAUAACAAUCUAAGAUUUAAAUUGUCAGAGAUUAAUUAUUACAUUUCCUUGGUAAUUGUUGUUAGUAUUGUUGUUGCUUCUUUUGCCAAUGUAUUGGCCUUGCGGUGAUUUCUUGAAGAUUUUGGCAUGUGUUUUGUAUCGAUCCUAAUUUCUUCAUUAUCUCUUUAUUCUCGCUAUCUUGGCCUCUUUCUUCUUUCUAUUCUCUGUUUGCAUCCUUGUCAUAUGUUUGCAUCAUAUCAAUAUUUGAAUGACGAUGCAUUUUUGUAAGCAGUUUGAUUUUAUGGAGAUACUGCAGCCCUUCAAAUUUUGAACAUUACAACACAUUUUCACUCUCCUAGGUGCCCUCACCUUUUGUUUCAAAUUGUAGAACUAUCUGAUUUUUUUCCUUUUUAUUUUAACUAAAAUAAUUAGGUCAAAGGACUACUGAAGGAUCAGAGGUUGGAAACAAUUGUUGAUGCUGAUCUACAUGGAAAUUAUGUUGACGAUCAAGUGGAGCAGCUCAUCCAAGUAGCUCUGCUGUGCACACAAGGCACCCCAGGGGAACGACCCAAGAUGUCAGAGGUUGGCCGGAUGCUGAAAGGUGAUGGUUUGGCUGAAAGAUGGGAGGAGUGGCAAAAAAAGGAGGUGUUCCGCCAAUAUUUCAACCCUAUUCAUCAUCCAAGUACUAAUCGGAUCAUAGACUCAACUUCUCAUGGUCCUCUAGAUGAGUUGUCCGGUCCUAGAUGAUAUGCUCGUUGGUUCCGUCCCCUUGUAUACAUGUAAGAAGCCUCAGAGGACUAGAGAAGGUCCAUUUUGUAUUUCAGUGAUACCACAUUUGUGCGAAUGUUUUGUCUUUGUUUUCGAUUUUGUUUUUGUGUCGCUUAUUUUUAAGAUCACAAAAAUGGAGCUGGUGCUGUUGUAAUUUUUAUAGGGUUAACUGGCAUUACGAAGUUAUAUUGUGCUAGCAGGAAUCAGGAAGGUCCAUAAAAGCACCCAUUCCUAAUGAUUUAUGUAUCUUUCCAACAAUUAGUCCAGAUUGUCGAGUAAAUAAUCUUUCUGAACUUAUAACUAUCUAUAUUUUUUAGUGUUCUUAUAGAUCCUAUAGAUACAUCCUAUAGAUACGAUAAGGGCAUUAGGUCAAGUGCAUGGGUGCUUGUGGACGGAUAGUGUUUGAAAUUUCAUUGUGAUCAUUGCAAGUGCAACUUUGUGGCGCUACCCUUAUAAGCACUUGAACUAAGGCAUUAGGGGAUCUAGAGAUCACUUUGUGUCACUCCAACAUGGGAAUUCGAGUUGUCUAUCCUCUUUAGAGAAUCGCCAAUGGAGACCCAAACCUAAAUAUUUGGGUUUAAACAAAAUAAAAAUGGAAUCUAACGGUGGGACUUUUUUUGUUUUUUUGAACAAAAAAUAUUAUCUACAUUAAAGGGGUAGGGGAUUAUGUUAAUCCUUAUAGUGAACAAAAAAUUACUAUUUAAUAUUUUAUAUAUUUAUUCAAAAUUUUAUAUUAUUAUAUCACUAUUUUAAUAUUUUCUUUGUGAUAUAUUUUUAUUUUUUUAUUAAUAUUUUCGGCCUGUGGGGUCCACAAUCACCCAGGCUCUUCUCUCAUUUUCUGCCAUGUGUUUUGUCUCCUCCCUCACUCCACCUCUCCCUCUCUCCCAUAAGACUCAUUUCCUCUCUCCUUCGGUGAAACCCAAUGACGCCGAAACCACCACCACCUUGCCGAUGCGACUCCAGCGGGUUACUCCACUUGAUGACCCAGGCUAGCACCACCUUCGUCAUUUUCUCCCCCUAUGUCGAACCAGCACCACUCACUUUCUUCCCCGAGGCCAUUGUUCACAUUUUUCUUUUUCGACAACAUUCAUGGCGAGUUCUCGUCGUUCAUGACAAAGGUAAGGUUCGAAAACCCUCAACAUCUUCGUAGAUUGUGUUUAUGAGUAUGACGAGGAUGUUCUUAAGAUGUUUUAGUGCUGGUUUGACGUAGAAAUACCCCAAGAGUAACAAACCCAGUGUUCCGGCAGAGAUCUGGCGGCUUUCGAGCCAUUUUUUGGCCAACUCCGGCCAAGACCAAGGAAACCAAAGGUAUAUUCCAAUUCCUUGAUCCGAAUCUGAACUCGGGAUCCGGCCCGAUCUGUUCUAAAUUGUAUAUGAAAUAUUCCAGAAUAUUCCCUGUGUUGACUUUUAAGAAAUUUUCUCAGAAACCCUCAUAGGCUAAUUUUGACGUCCCAAGUCCAUUUUUGACAUCUAUUUAGGAAAAUCAUGAAGUUUUAACAUAGUUGACCACCAAGGCGUCUCGUUGACAUUUUAGGGUUGACCGUUCACAUUUCGUUGACUUUUUACAAAAUUUGCAUUUAACCCCUCUUAGCGUAUUUCGACACUCUGAUUCUAAAUUCGCACUCCGUUUUCUCAAAUUUGAUCGUUUAAGUUGAGUUUUACUAAUGAGUCCUAAUAUUAUACUUUGGUGCGAUUACUAUCGGAGACUCCGACUUUCUUAGCUUGAAAGGAUGUGACAUCGCAGGUACUUGUGAGUGGGUCUUUUCUUUUAUAUAGUGUGUAUAUAUAUAUAUAUAUAUAUAUAUAUAUUUGUUAGUUUCCAUUUAUAUAUUUGGUAAAGAAUUUUCUAAGUUACACCUAUAUUAGGGUAACGUAUAUAAAAAUUAACGUAUUGACAGAAUUCAUGUAAUUAUACUACGUUCUAUGGGAUACACAGGUAUGCGUAUUAGUAUGGAUGCUUUAAUGGUAUUUACGGUUAUGAAUAAUAUUCCAUUGACUAGGGUUAUUGAAUUAUCGCAUUAUCAAUUUACCAUUGCAUGAUCAUAUUUGUGUUAUUUACUCAUCGUGUGCUGCACUGGUGUUAGUACUUGCCCAGGCCAGGGCCAAUCUUUCACGUGUAUGUUCACAUCGCACUGUACGCUUAGUUUGGAUCCAUUGUAGGUGUAAUCCUAUCCUAGAUUGCGAUAGGCAAUUAGGACUCAUAUGUGAGGCACUUAGCGCUAGCCUUCACGUGAUUGUAGUACUAGAGCGUAAAUCAUUGCUUACACCCAGUCAUGUUCAUGUCAGAAUACCUCUGCAUGAACUCGUGUAUCAGCAUAUGUCAAUGAGCACUCGAUGUGAUAUGUUUAUUUCUGCGAGAUAUUGUGAUUACUAUAAGUUAUGUACCUAUUUAUGAAUUUUGUGACGUAUUGAAUUCUUAAGAUUUUGCAGGCUACAGUAAGUAUUUUCAUACUAUACGUAGUAUGUAAAUUUUGGAAACUAUACUUGUUUUACGAUAAGGGGUUAUAAUGUUUUCAAAAAGCUUUUUAUAAAACUUUAUUUUAGGCCCACUCACCCUUGUUUUUCUCCCCUCUAAGAUUUAGUGGCAAUGUUCGUGUCGACAAGGAUUUCUAGCAAACGCUGAUAUCAGAGACUACUUCUGAUGGUAUAAUUCUCAAUCUACUCUAUUGUACUUUACUUAUACUCUGACAUCACAUGUGAACUAGGUUGAUUCCCGCUCACUAACGCACUCUUAUACUUAGGCACUUUUAGAUUUAAAUUUAUUUCCAUUUUCCAAAUCACUAUAUUUUAUGGCUUCGUCACUCUCCUGGUGUCGACCAGCACACCUCGAUUCGGAGCCUAAGUAGGCAUUCCGGGUCAGGGUGUGUCAGUUUGGUAUCAGAGCAUAAGUUUGGUCAGCAUUGCGUUCAUCACACGCGUGCUGUAAGCAUUCUUGGUUCUUGAACCUAAUUGUCGAAUCUUGUCACCUCGUCGAAUACAAAAAAUGUGUUAGCUUUUCUUGAGUUAUGGGUUACUUAGACGACUUAUUGACAUGUUAGAAGAAUACUUUGGCGACCACCUCUAAACUUUAAGCGAAGGAUUUUCCUGCCAAGGAAAUAUGUAGAUUUGAGACAAGUUGAUGGCCCUGAAGCAGGGCUACUAUAUCGAUAGUUGUGCAUCACGAGAGAUUUACCAACCAAAUCCACUACCAUCUGGUCAUUUCUACCAACCCUUUUAAGUUAGAAAACCAUAAACAGUUUUGAUUCCUUGGCAUUACCCGUUAGUAUACCACAUAUCAGAAUUCCUGUGAAGUUUUAGUUUUUGUCAAAAUUUCCAAAAAUGUCCCGAAUGACAAUGUGGUGCUAAAAGGGUAGCAUUCGACAGAAGAACAUCUAGGGGAUAAUCACUUUUGUUCCCUGAUAACACUAAUCUUCUUAAGCGCACUGGUUAUCAUUUCGGAUCCUCAGGAGGAAGAUCGAUUUCCAUUUAGGUUAUUAACAAAUUUCUUUUCCGGUGUGGACCCCACCAUUGACAUUUGGUCAACAGGUCUUGAACCAUUUGAAUUACUAAAAUUAGUAUUACUAGAGACUCAGUGAAGCUUUGCUGACUUGUCUCGGUGAGUGACUUUAAUAUAUGUGAUAUGGUGAUUACCCGAUUCUUUAUAUUACUAUCCUUUGUGGAUAUGACAUGGUUUUAUAAAUGUGUUUUCUGUUAAAAUGUGAUUCUUUUAUAAUUGGCCAUCGAUCUAUUUUUAUUAAAUGUGAUUUGAUUCAUGGAUUGGUAAUAUUUGUGAAAAAGUGAUUCGAAUUGCAUAUUGAAAUGUUUUGUAAAUUGAGGGCUAGUAGAGGACUAUGACCCUGCUUGGUUAAUCCGCAUUGGGGGGUCAUUAGUGGUCCUGCUUGGUUAAUCCGCAUUGAGGGACCAUACUAUAUAUGGAUCGUGCUUGGUUAAUCUGCGUUGGGCGAUCCUUAUGGCCAUUUAUACUUAGGGGUGAUCAUGCUUGAUUAAUCCGCUUGGUUAAUUCGCAUUGGGGGGGGGGUGAUGAGUUCAUAUUAUACUAUAUAUUUCACCCUAUUCUUAGUAUUAAUUUAUUGAUUAUUUUGGUAGAAUUUUGAUACUUUGUUUUAUAUUUUCAACAUAGGAUAUUCAAUUUCCUCUGGAACAAAACUUGACCAAAUGGACGAAAUUUCGAGUGAUUCAAAUUGGAGGACGUUCGUGUGUUGUUUGUGUCAAAAUAUCAGAAAUUUCUACCAAGCGGUUAUUUUCUGGAGAUUAAAUGAAGGAGCAGUGCGCAUUGCUGGAAAGUGACAUUUCUGGGCUUAAACUACAUUUUUGGAGCCCGAGAUGACUUCGGCUGGAGAAGUGUUCAGAAUAGUCCAAACUUUAGAUCCAGCUAUUUUGGGCCAGUUUAGGAUUAUAUUUCCUAUUUUAUUUCUAUUUAUUACGUUUCCUGGUUUUAUUCUAAGACCUUUUAGGGUUUUAUUUUGUAUUAGUAUAAAUAAGGCUUUUUAGCCAUUAGGUUAAGAAAUAGGGGAGAGAACGCACACAUUUUGGCUUUAGAGAGCUUUUGACGAAUCAAGUGUAUUUUCAAGGUGUUUUCUAUCCAUGUUUUUAAUAAUAUUUUAUUUUAUGAUUGUUUGUAAUUAGUUUUGUUUGCUAGGGUGAGGCCACGAGCCUUAGCAAAAAUAUGUAUUUUUUUUUUCAAUUUGCUUAUAAUAUUAUGCAUGCAAGUUUUGAAUUAUUAACCACUGUGCUUUAAACUAUCUAGUUGUCUUGAUGAUUGGCCACCAUUAGGAUAUUUAGAAAAGUAAUUUGAUGCAAUUUUGGUGGAGGGCUGUCCCUGGAAUUGGCGUUGGCUUCUUGUGGUUAAUAUGUGUAACCUCUUAGGAUGGACGACAUGUUUUAAGGGUUAUAUGGUUUUUCAAAAGGUUUUCACAAAACUUAAUGAGUCUUGCAUGUUCACAUUCGAUCUGGACGCCACAGACGGGUUUCAAGUAGGGCAUACUUUAGGAAAACCUAACCUUCAAAAUAUGCAUGGGUAAUUCAUAAGUAAUUGAAAGAACUACGUAGAAUUGUUAAGGUGACAACGGAACCCUAGUGCUCAAAUUUAUUUUCAAAACUAUUUUCUUUUGUUUUUUUUUAUUACUUUGCCAAUUUAUUUAAUUUUUUUUAAUAAAAUUCAUUUUUAAUAUUUUAGGUCAUAAAAUCAACCUCUUCUAAAUUUUGUUUUCAAAUCAUUAAUUAAGAUUUGGUUUUAACAUAAAUUAUUCAUUCAAUCCCUGUGGAGAUCGACCUUACUUGAGCUGCUAUACUAUGACAACCUUGUACUCUUGCAAGUAUUUUUAAAUGUUUUUAUCUCUAAUUUUGCAGGUGGUAAAAAUCCCUACCAGAGGGUCACUAGUGGUCUUGCUUGGUUAAUCCACAUUAGGGGACCAUACUAUAUGUAAAUCGUGCUUGGUUAAUCCACGUUAGGCGAUCCUUAUGGCCAUGUAUGCUUAGGAGUGAUCAUGCUUGGUUAAUCCGCAUUGGAUGAUCACUUCCUAACAGCUGUAGGAGUGACUCUGCUUGGUUAAUCCGCUUUGGGGGGGUCACUGCCUACUUGGUUACUUUCUCAUGGGUGGCUUUGCUUGGUUAAUCUGUUUUGGGAGGCCACUUCGUGUUUGGUUACUUAUGUAGGCUUCUGCCGAACUGCGUCCCUCUAGCCCUAGUUUUUAAUGUACAUAUGAACGAUGGUUUUUGAGAAUCUUGGUGGUUUGAAUGGGAAAAGCCAUUGGAUGUUUGGGUGACUCAUUCGGAGUUGUUAGAGACUUGACUAUGUUUUCAUAUUUACAAACUUAUAUUUGAGGUUUAUAAACUGUGAUUGAUGGUCUUUCUUUUUAUUGAUUAUCACAUACUUGUAUUAUUGUCACUCACCCGAUUUUACAUAUGACAGGCCUGGGUAGAUUAUGAGAAACCGCUUGAUAUUUUGGUUUCAUUGAGUAAUCCGGAACCCGGUGUCGUUGGAUUCCGUUGAGUGAUUCGAAAUCCUUGUUCUCGCUCAUUCCCAUAAGGUUAGUCUAGAACCCUAGAUUUGAGUGAAUGAAAAUUACCCACAAUAGACCUUGUGAAUAUGAAAUAGAUUUACCAUGUUAUUACUGAUAAUCCAAGUAGAAAAUUAUAUAGAGUUCCUUGGUUAAAUUUGUGAAAUGAUAUGUUAUUGCAUUCAUUGAUUAGCAUAUUUAAAUGCUAAGAUCAUGUAUCUUUGAUUCAUGAAUUGAUUGAUUGACGGAAUUGUGGAAUGACUUGGUUAUGGUUGUUAUUAUUUUGAUUAUUUUAGUUGAUCAAUGUGGCUUGAGAAUAAUAUGUGCUUCGUUGGUUAUUUGAUAUGUUACAUGUUGUGGAUGGAAGUAUCGUGCUGAAAACAUAGAAUUUAUAUGAUGGAUGGAAUGAGAAUCUUGAACGGCAUGUUGGUUUGUUUUGUAGCCAUGAACUUGGUAAUGUCAUGCAUGUCAAGUUCUAAUAAUUGAUUACAGAAUGCUAUGUAUUCCUAUUAGAACGCACUGGAAUAAAUGUCUAAAUUAGUGAACGAUGAACUACGAACGGCUUGAUCCCUAAUGAGGGUACGUAGGCAAUCUAACGAGGAGGUUAGAUGCAGCCAUAAAGUAUACGAAAAAUUACUAUGCGAUUCAAUUCUCAAGUUGUGAUUUGCCAUAUCCCGGAGGCGGGGUAUGUUGAGAUACGGGUAUUUGGUGACGUCACAUGUCGAUCCUGAACAUAUGUUGGGAUCGGGGCGUGACAUUUUUGAUCACUUCCAUAGGUAGACAGUAGAAUCAAAGUACGAGUUAAUUUCUUGCUAUUAAAGUGAAUUGAGUAUCGAGAAAACUAUGAAGACCUUUUAGUUCAUGUCGUAGAGUUGGGAAGUAGUAUUGUACGUUUUGAUGACGUAUAUCCAAGUGUCUAUUUCAAAAAUUUACCUGAGAUAUCACCAAAUUGUGAAGUAAGAUACACUAUCAACCUAUUUUCUAAUACGACACCUAUUAUCCUUGCAUCUUAUCGAACGACUCCUUUGACUUGAGAAACUUAGUUACAAAAGCUUAUCGAUUAGGAAUUCACCCAACCAAACACUUUAUCUAGGGAACCCUAAACCUAUCCAAGAAGACAAUAGGUUGAACCUUAAAACUGUAUCUAGAUUUUAGCAACUCUAUCGAGUGACAUUUAACUCCGUUAUACCAUACUUUGAAUUUAUGGUCUAUCCAACCAACCUCUGAGCCCAAGUUUUCUUCCGUAGCUUGUCAAAUUCGUAGUGGUUUUACCGAUGACUUUCUCACCUACCGUAGCAACGGGAGCAAAUUUUCUAAACACUGACAGUCAGCUUUAUACCAAAUUCCUCAAAUAUUACCUUUGUUUUAGAUUUCUUGGGAGACGUGAUCUCAACAGAGACGUUCUUGUCAAUUUCCAAAAAGGUUGCACAUGAAGAAGAUUUCAUAUUCCACAAAUCGUUGUGAAUAAUGCGAUAUCCUUGGCCUUGUUGGUUAUAUCGACAUUUCGUUAGUAACUUUUCAGCAGUGGUGUUUUUCCUUGCAAGUUGACCGAGGAAAAUCAGUUUAACUGAGAUGUGGAAUAUGAUUACAGUUGUGACAACUGAGGUGUUGUCUAUUUCUUACCCUUGUUCGUACACCUUUCGAUAACAUUGAAUGAUUUGGCUGCAUACUGAUAGAAUAUGACGAAGUAUUGCUUAUGUUUCCCAACGGUUGAAACCAUAUAAAGUGAACUAACUUACUAUUGACCUAGAGUCAACAAUUACCAUCUUUCCUUGAAACUGGAUGACACUUCUCUAUGGAGAAUCUUGUCCAAAAUCUGUACCAACCUUAGACUUCUCAAAUACAUCUUCAUUUGUAAUGAGCUAAAUUUCUGACAGUAGUGAUGGACGAACUAAAUCAACGUUUACGAUUACACUAUCGUGUAUUACCCUGGUUGUGUAAACGUAAUUACUGUUCACCGUAGUAAAAGAUGUAUCUACCCUUGAACAUUUUCAACCUGUCCUAUUCCAACUCAUUUGGAAUUCAUGAGUAUUGUUAUGACGUGACUUACGAAUCCUCAAGAAAUCGUUCGAGUGGUUAUAAUCACUUACUGUAUUUGAAUAGAGAUGAGAAAUAUCACCAUAAGUUCCUAGUACGAGGUAUUUUGUACAUGUGGAUAUUAUGAUAAUGUUUCGAUGAUUAUCUAUCAACUUGACAAGUCAGCUCACCUUCUGUUGGUCGAGAAGAACUACAUUUUAGACCACUUAUCAAAAUUUCUCAUUCUUGAACUUAUUAGACUUUUUGACGUUUUGAUCAGCAUCUAAUCUAACUGUGAUUCCCUAUUCACCAUCUUGGGCUGGAAAGCAUUCCAAUCAACCUUAGGUACGUCUUACCCUACAACACUUUGUAUUAUUUCUUAAGCAAAUAGAUUGUUUAGAUGAACCGCUGACAUUGAAGUUUUAGUUAUGACCAUUAACUCCUCAAUCACCUAACAAAUACUUUACUGAACGAAUCUUUACCAUUAGUGAUUGAAUAUUCUGAAAGCUACCGUUGUAGUGAGAUAUUAUGCAUUCAAUCCAGCCAUCUUGUACUCUAGAUUCGAUGAACUUGUUUUGACCCUCAAAUUCUUGAGUGUUCAUUUAGCCUUUUCGGCGUAAUGUUUCACUAAACCCGAGUGGAAAUUCAUAAUGAAUCUACUUGCUGAGGCAUAUGUGAAUUACAGUGUUUGGUUGCAUAGUGUGCAUGACACUACUGUAUCUUAUUAUGAUGCGCAUUUCGCUUCCAAGUUUUGGGAAGCCUUCUUGAAGGCCAUGCGUAUUAAGUUUUGUCACAUACCACAUUUCACCCUCAGACUAACGGUCAGUCUGAAUGAACUAUUCAGACCUUAGAUAACAUAUUUCUUUUGUAUGUUUUAUAGUUUUAACUGGUUAUGUUAGACACCUAUCUUUGCUUAUGUUGCGUACGACGAUAGUUAUUAUUAUGGUUUGGCUAUAGUAUUGUUUAAGCUGUGAUAUAGAGAUUUUACGCACGGAACAUGUUUGACAGACGAGUAUUGCGAACAAGUAUUCGAAUGAUCAGGAUUAAGAUGUAGCAAACUAUGAGAUAUUGACGAUGUCGCCGAAGAGGGUCAUGCGUGAAUGCAAUCAAGGCGUUAAUCAGAUGAUUUAUGUGUAUUUCCCAAUGAGGGGCAAGAUGGUAAUAUUGCACCCUCAUGAAUUAUUUGCUUGGUUAUUGUGACAACACCGUAAUAUUGAUAACUUAUUUAUUGUUUGGACUUGACCCAAAGAUACUACACUUAUUCUCGGAUUACGUGACGCUACAAGUGCAUAGGUGACAUUUUUCUAUGUUCAGUUUUGAUUUCAGUACAACUAUCUUGAUUCUACGUUAUUGUGUAUAUGUAUUUUAAUUUGACGUUAUGUUUAUAUAUAUAUUACCUUAUGUUUUUAUAAAAUAUAAUAUUAUAGUAUUGUGCUGAAGGAGAAGGAAAGUAUGAGUUUGGAGCCAUAAAAUAGGAAUCAUUGCACACCUAUCGCGACAGAAUGACAUUCUCUUUUAUGCAACCGCUCUAGCUUGAAUUCUUCUUUAUAUAUUUUCCUUCUGUCUUGAGUAUUUUAUGUUUAGCAACUUAUUUCAAAUUUUGGGGACAAAAUUUUUUUUAAGGGGUGUAUAUUGUGACAACUCGUCCCUACUUUUAUGAUUUUAUUAAUUUUAAAAGCGUGAAUUGGCAAAAAUGCUCUAGCUUGAAUUCUUCUUUAUAUAUUUUCCUUAUGUCUUGAGUAUUUUAUUUUUAGCAACUUAUUUCAAAUUUUGGGGACAAAAUUUUUUUUUAAGGUGGGUAGAUUGUGACAACCCGUCCCUACUUUUAUGAUUUAAUUAAUUUUAAAAGCGUAAAUUGACGAAAAUGCCCAAGAGGCGAGAUUAUUGACUUUCGUUGAUCGUUGUUUGUGACACGUAUGAGUUAUUACUUUACCGUACCCUUGAAGUACUCGAUGGUAAAAACGCAUAGGCGCAAGCGGAAUCGAAUUUGGAGCAACGAUGAAAAUUUUAUUGAACAAUGAAUCCGAAAAAUACUUUUGUAAAAAUUACUAUUUUAUAUUUUAUAUAUUUAUUCAAAAUUUUAUAUUAUUAUAUCACUAUUUUAAUAUAUUUCUAUGGGAUAUUUUUUAUUAUUUUAUUAAUAUUUUCGGCCCAUGGGGCCCACACUCACCCAAGCUCUCAUCUCAUUUUCUGCCAUGUGUUUUGUCUCCUCCUUCUGUCCUGUAAGACUCCCCUUUUUCUCUCCCUUGGUGAAACCUAGUGACACUGGAACCACCACCACCACCACCACCUUGCCGUUGCGACUCCGGCGAGUUACUCCACUCGAUGACCCAGGUUGGCACCACCUUCGUCGUUUUCUCCCCCCUCCAUGUCGAACGAGCACCACUCAUUUUCUUCCCCAAGGCCACUGUUCACGUUUUUCUUUUCUGACGACAUUCAUAGCAAGUUCUCGCUGUUCAUGACGAAGGUAAGGUUCGAAAACCCUCAAUAUCUUUGAACACCCUCAAUAUCUUCGUAAAUCCCGUCCCUGAUUUUCACUAUUGCAAAUUACGUAUGUGUAUUAAGGAGUUAUUAUAUUAUUUUUGGAAUUUAUAUUAAUUGUAGAGUGUUGAGAUUGUGUAUUCAAAAGAUAUCAAUGUGAAAAAGCUACAAUUAAAAAGUUGCCCUUAAUUAAUUAAGGAGAGGAAAAAAAAGGGAACUUUAACGAAAAGCUCCCGGUACUGUUCAUUUUAACGAAAAACCACAUUUUUACACUAAAAAGUCAAUCCUGGUACUAUUCACUUUACCCUUUAUUUUGUCCUUAUCGUUAAAACUCAAAGUUUUCAAGCCCUUUUCAUUAGUUUUCCUAAAAAAAAAAGAAAAGGAAUUUGGGGAGAGAAAUGAAGGAGGCUUGGCCAACGGGAAGGCGGGAGAGAAAGAAGGCUGCCAAUGAGAAAAAAGGAAAGGAGGAGGAAAGAGGGGAGGGGAGGGACACCAGAUUCCCUGCCCAAUUGUCUUUUCCGACCUGAACGCGUCAUUGCUACCACUUCCGACGGGUUUUCCGUCCAUUUUUUGGCGAUCCACCAUUUUUGAAAUAAUGUUCUUCAAUUACCACCACAAAGACACUCAUCUAGAGGUCAGGAAAAAAGCCCAAGCAAGAUUGGGGGUGUUGGAGUUCGAAUUGAGGACGAAUCAAAUGACACCCAUUUCAAGGGUUCCGGCGGAUCGAGGCAAAAUUGAAGGGUUCCCCGGCAAAAUUGGACCUCGGCCCAGGUAUGAAAAUUUCUCCCCGCACUGAUAUCUACAUGCCUGUAAAGUUUGGUAAUUUUUGGAAAUAGUUGAAUUUUCGGCAAGUCGGGGCUGCCGACCGCCACCCGCGGCGGCGGCCUGCCCAGUGGGCCGACGAUGUCCUUUUAAGUUCAAAUAGAUGCCUUGAUUUCAUAAUUGAUAUCCGUAUGACGUAAUUUGAUUGUUUGGACUUAGUUUCAUUACGAUACCUCAUGUUGAUGCACAAAACCGGAGGUUUUGGGACAAUAUAAAUCCGAUCGUGAAUCUGCAAGUAAUGUAAGUAACACAAGAUGUAUCGUGGUUCACCCCAAUGUUUGGGCUACGUCCACACUGAUUAUUGAAUUUCUUUAAGAUGCUGAAGAGGGAGAAAGAGAGUUUCUCUGUGAGGAUGAGAGCUCUGAGAGGGUGAAGGUACGGCCUAAGAAAUGGCCUCCCUUCAUGAAGAGAGUGAGGGGUCCUUUUAUAGAAUAAGGGCUCCUCACUUAUUACAUAUUUGCCCUUUAUUUAUUACAUAAUUACAUUUGAGUCCCCCGAGUAUUUAUACGAGAUCUAAAAACGGAGGCCCUAAGUAUGGUAUAAACAGUAAUCCCCCAAGUCUUCAGUCAAGAUAGUCUUUUGGCUGGAGACUUGAAAUUCAGUCCAUGUGUGGACCAAAGUAACUAGACAUCGUCUAGGACUGAUACUCGAUAUGAGGCGGUGCUCAAUCUGAAAUGAUGCUCAACUAGAAGUAGCACAUGUUGCGAGGCUGCUUGGCUUGUGGCUUAUGUUGUCUUGGUUGGCUUGGCUUGUGGCAUUGAAGGUAAGGGAGUCCCUUUUAUAGAAUAAGGGCUCGCUCCUCAAUACAUGAAUGAUAGGCUAGAGUUGAUGCUCGCGGCGAGGGCAUUGCUCAGCUGGCGACGAUGCUCUCUAAUGAUGGUGAGGGAGUCUCUUUUAUAGAAUAAGGGCUCGCUCCUCAAUACAUAAGUGAUGAGUUAGGAGUGAUGUUCCCGGCGAGGCGAUUGCUCAGCUGGCGGCGAUGCUCUCUAAUAAAGGUGAGGGAGUCCCUUUUAUAAAAUAAGGGUUCGCUCCUCAGUACAUGAAUAAUGGGUGCUUUCUAAUGAAAGUGAGGGAGUCCCUUUUAUAGAAUAAGGGCUCGCUCAUCAGUACAUAAAUAAUGGGCUAAGUCCCCCAAGUAUUUUUCAUGAGGCCCAGUUGAGGCCCAAUAAAUGGUACAUAAUGUAGUCCCCCAAGUCUUCGGUCAAUAGAGUCUGUUGGUUGGACACUUCAAAUUGAAUCCAAGUAUGGGCUGAAGUGGCGGUUGUUCGGAGGCGGUAUUUGUAUACCCUGCACUGAAGCUUUGUAGGUGAAGCUUUGCAAGUGAAGCUUUGAAGCUAGAGCUCUGUAAAUGAAGCUUUUAAAGCUAGAGCUCUAUAAAUGAAGCUUUUGAAGCUAGAGCUUUGUAAAUGAAACUUCUGAAGCUAGCGCUUUUGUGAAUGAAGCUUUUGAAGCUAGAGCUCUGUAAAUGAAGCUUUUGAAGCUGAUUGACAUGAGUGAUGGUCAUGAAUGUUUAUGUUGAUUGACAUGAGUGAUGCUCAUGGAUGUUGAUGAAUGAUGGUCAUGAAUGUUUAUGUAUGAUUGACAUGAGUGAUGUUCAUGAAUGUUUAUGUAUGAUUGACAUGAGUGAUGCUUAUGUAUAAUUUUGGAGUACUGGAUGUACUUUUGAUCACCUGAUUGGUGAUAAUAGCGGCAGGCUGCCAAAUAAUUUUGGAGUACUGGGCGUACUUUAGAUCACCUGGUUGAUGAUAAUAGCGACAGGUUGCCGAAUAAUUUUGGGAGUACUGGGCGUACUUUAGAUCACCUGGUUGAUGAUAAUAGCGACAGGUUGCCGAAUAAUUUUGGGAGUACUGGGCGUACUUUUGAUCACUUGGUUGGUGAUAAUAGCGGCAGGUGCCGAAUAAAUUUGGAGCCAUAGGGCCUGGCUCUUUUGGGCAUAUGGGCAUUCGCCCUCCACAUGACAUUGCAGCCCACUAUUUUGGGCUUGCCCUUUUUUUUUAAAAUUUUUUUUAUUAUUACCCUCUGAUGGGGUUUAUAUAGAUGUCUCCGAAAGAUAAGAAAAAUAAAUUAUAUCAUUCAAAAAUAAAUCUCACCCUCUGCUCAAUGGGUUAUGCCCAUAAUUCCCUUUUCUGCAUGCCAUCACCACCGCAAUUAUGUCUGCUUCUUUUUAUCUUCUUUUGCUUUCUGCUUUUUACUUUCUGCUUUUCUUUUGCUUUCGGCCUGGUUGGUGCUAAGACCUUGUAGUGGGAUGGCAAACAGCUUGGCAUCAUUAUGUCUGAAUUCCUUUAUCAUCGUGGUGCCGAACCACUUUCCAGUUGUGUGUUUAAAGGAACCUGUUUUACCUUCACUGCUUUUUGACCAUACUUCCUCCAUCUAUACCCAAUUGAAGUAAUGAUUACUCCCCUGGAGCCGAUACUAGACCGGUUGAGUCAUUCUGGGAGGCAGCGGAAUGUUGACGUCUGCAACGUGCGGACCGAAGCCCAAAUGCGACGUCGUUUGGCCUGCCACCAGAAGAAGAAACAAACCGAGCAAAACAUUGAAACUCACCAGAGAGAUCGCCGGAGUCAGAGCUUAAGAGAGUAAACACCCAUGAUCCAUGUGAAGAGAGUGAGAGAGUGAGAGCAUGAGAGAGUAAACUCAUCCAAAUUAGAGUAAACUCACACAACUCCGGCCACAGAGUCGUACUCUUCCAUACCAACAUUUCCAUUUCCAACACUACCCUCCACGUUCUUCUUCACCCUCCCUGCAAUCACACGGCACACCAACAUUGCCCUCUUGUCACCCUCCUUCGUCGCCACCACCGCUUUAUCAUGAGCUCUGCUGCUUGUCGCAGUUGUCAAAAUACCCAGCUCCGUCAACUCCCCAGAGAACUUGUUGAAGCCGUUUUUUAUAAUGAUGCAAACAUUGCAGUGUGGGAUUAAGUUACUUGGAGAGCUUGGUGGCAAAGGUGGUGUAGUGGAAACGGAUGAGCUCGUUGCCGUCAGCGAUGCAGCGGGGGUGUUUCUUGGAGAGCUUGGUGGCUUUUACUUUGAUGGAGUCUCUAUACUCUUUGAAUUUGGUGAUGGUAUCUUGGGUGUUAUGGACUUUAAGGAUGCGGUCGAUUUUGUAGAUUGGGGUUCUUUUUUCAGCCAGCUGGACUGGAAUAUGAUCUCCACUAUGUUCUUGCUAGUAUCAUCAGGACUCCGAGCUUGUAUGGUGUCUCUACCGUCACAAGGAGAAGAUCAACCUCGCUGGUCACGAAGAGAAGAUCAGCCUCCGCUACUCAAGCUCCGACUCCAGCGAUCUCUCUUGUGAGUUUCACUGUUUUGCUCGGUUUGUUUCUUCUUCUGGUGGCGGGCCAAACGACGUCGCAUUUGGGCUUCGGUCCGUAAAUUGUAGACAUUAACAUUCUGCUGCCUCCCAGAAUGACUCAUCUGGUCUAGUAUCGGCUCCAGGGAGUAAUGAUUGCUUCAAAUGGGUAUAGAUAGAGGAAGUAUGGUAAAAAAGCAGUGAAGGUAAAACAGGUUGCUUUAAACACACAGCUGGAAAGUGGUCCGGCACCACGAUGAUAAAGGAAUUCAGACAUAAUGAUGCUAAGCUGUUUGCCAUCCCACUACAAGGUCCCAGCACCUACCAGACUGAAAGCAAAAGAAAAGCAGAAAGCAAAAGAACAUAAAAAGAAGCAGACAUAAUUGCGGUGGUGAUGGCAUGCAAAAAAGGGAAUUAUAGGCAUAACCCAUUGAGCAGAGGGUCGGAUUUAUUUUUGAAUGAUGUAAUUUAUUUUUCUUAUCUUUCGGAGACAUCUGUAUAAACCCCUUCAGAGAGUAAUAAUAAAAAAUUAAAAAAAAAACGGCAAGCCUAAAAUAGUGGGCUGCAAUGUCAUGUGGAGGGUGAAGACCCAUAUGCCCAAAAGAGCCAGGCCCUAUGGCUCCAAAUUUAUUCGGCACCCUGCCGCUAUUAUCACCAACCAAGUGAGCAAAAGUACGCCCAGUACUCCCAAAAUUAUUCGGCAACCUGCCGUUAUUAUCACUAACCAGGUGAUCAAAAGUACAUCCAAUACUCCAAAAUUAUUUGGCAGCUUACCGUUAUUAUCACUAACCAGGUGAUCAAAAGUACGUCCAGUACUCCAACAUUAUACAUGAGCAUCACUCAUGUCAAUCAUACAUAAACAUUCAUGACCAUCAUUCAUCAACAUCCAUGAGCAUCACUCAUGUCAAUCAACAUAAACAUUCAUGAGCAUCACUUAUGUCAAUCAGCUUCAAAAGCUUCCUUUACAGAGCUCUAUCUUCAAAAGCUUCAUUUACAGAGUUUUAGCUUCAAAAGCUUCAUUUACAGAGCUCUAGCUUCAAAGCUUCACUUGCAAAGCUUUCACCUACAAAGCUUCAGUGCAGGGUAUACAAAUACCGCAUCCGAACAAUCGCCACUUCGGCAUAUACAUGGAUUCUAUUUGAAGUCUCUAGCCAACAGACUUUAUUGACCGAAGACUUGGGGGACUACAUUAUGUACCAUAUAUUGGGCCUCAACUGGGCCUCAUGAAAAAUACUUGGGGGACUUAGCCCAUUAUUUAUGUACUGAGGAACGAGCCCUUAUUCUAUAAAAAGGACUCCCUCAAUUUCAUUAGAGAGCACCUAUUAUUCAUGUACUGAGGAGUGAGCCUUUAUUUUAUAAAAGAGACUCCUUCACCUUCAUUAGAGAGCAUCACCACCAGCUAAGCAACCGCCUCGCCGCGAGCAUCACUCCUAACUCAUCACUUAUGUAUUGAGGAGCGAACCCUUAUUCUAUAAAAUGGACUCCCUCACCAUCAUUAGAGAGCAUCGUCGCCAGCUGAGCAACUGCCUCGCCGCGAGCAUCAACUCUAGCCCAUCAUUUAUGUUUUGAGGAGCAAGCCCUUAUUCUAUAAAAGGGACUCCCUCACCUUCAACGCCAUAAGCCGAGCCAACCAAGGCAACAUAAGCCACAAGCCGAGCAGCCUCGCAACAUGUGCUACUUCUAGUUGAGCAUCAUUUCAGAUUAAGCACCGCCUCAUAUCGAGUAUCAGUCCUAGAUGACGUCCAGUUACUUCGCCCACACAUGGACUGAGUUUUAAGUCUCCAGCCAAAAGACUCUAUUGACUGAAUACUUGGGGGACUACUGUUUAUACCAUACUUAGGGCCUCCGUAUUUAGAUCUCGUAUAAAUACUAGGGGGACUCAAAUGUAAUUAUGUAAUAAAUGAAGGGGCAAAUAUGUAAUAAGUGAGGAGCCCUUAUUCUAUAAAAGGACCCCUCACUCUCCUCAUGAAGGGAGGCCAAAUCUUAGGCCAUACCCUCACCAUCUCAGAGCUCUCAUCCUCACAAAAAAGCUCUCUCUCUCCCUCUUCAACAUCUCGGAGAAAUACAAUAAUCAGUGUGGACGUAGCCCAAACAUUGUGGUGAACCAUGAUACAUCUUGUGUUAUUUACAUUUCUUGCAGAUUCAUGGUCGAAUUUACGUUGUCCCAAGACCUUCGGUUUUGUGCAUCAACAUAUUUGAUGGAUGAAAUAGAAACCUUGAUUAUCAUGUGGGUUGUUAUGUAGCUUGAAUUGAAUAAUUCAUGCUUGUCAAGUCCAACUGUUUGAUUGAGGAAUGUUAUGCCUUUUGGCUUGAGUGAAUAGUGUUAUAUGUCGAGUUAUAAAGACGUUGAACUACGAAUGGCUUGAUCCCUAUUGAGGGUACAUAGGCAAUCUAACGAAGAGGUUAGAUGCAGCCAUAAUGUAUACGCAAAAUUAUUAUGCAUCUAGAUCUUGAAUUAUAUUUUGUACAUAUCCAAAAAGGCGGGAUACGUUGAGUUACGAGCAUUUAGUGACGUCACGUGUCGAUCUGAGAUGUAUGUCGGGAUUGGGGCGUGACAAUUUAUCCCAGCCAUCUUUUUCCAGAUUCUGACGGUUGUAGCGGCAACCAGCUGAGAAGAAGAAAAAAAAGAAAAAAAAGGAAAAAAAAAAAAAGGAAGCCUAGAUCCGCGACCCGGAUCUAGCCCAACCUGAUUCUAAAAUGCAUAUGGAAUAUUCUUAGUGUUGACCUUUAAGAAAUUUUCUCGGAAAUCCUCCUAGGCUAAUUUCGACGUCUAGAGUCCAUUUUUGACUUCCAUUUAGGAAAAUUUUGAAGUUUUAACAUAGUUGACCACCGGGCCGUCUUUGUUGACUUUUUAAGUUUGAUCGUUCACUUUUCGUUGACUUUUUACAAAAUUUGCCUGGGACCCCUCUUAGCGUAUUUCGACGCUCUGAUUACUAUCGGAGACUCAGACUUUCUUAGCUUGAAAUGAUGUGACAUCGCAAGUACCUAUGAGUGGGUCUUUUCUUUUAUAUAGUACAUAUAUAUAUAUAUUUGUUAGUUUCCAUUUAUAUAUUUGGUAAAGAAUUUUCUACGUUACGCCUAGAUUAGGGUAACGUAUAUAAAAAUUAACGUAUUGAAGGAAUUCAUGCAAAUAUACUACGUCCUACGAGAUACACAUGUAUGCGUAUUAGUAUGGAUGCUUUAAUGGUAUUUACGGUUUUGAAUAGUAUUCCAUUGACUAGGGUUAUUGAAUUAUCGAUUUACCAUUGCAUGAUCAUAUUUGUGUUAUCUGCUCAUCGUGUGUUGCACUGGUGUUAGUACUUGCCUAGGCUAGGGCCAGUCUUUCACAUGUAUGUUCAAUUCGCACUGUACGCUCACUUUGGAUCCAUUGUAGGUGCCAGUCCUGUCCUCGAUUGCAAUAGGCAAUUAGGACUCGUAUGUGACGUGCUUAGCACCCGUUUUCAUGUGAUUGUAGUACUAGAGCGUAAAUCAUUAUUACACCCAGUCCUAUUCAUGUCAGAAUACCUUUGCAUGAACUCGUGUGUCAACAUAUGUCGAUGAGCACUCGAUGUGAUAUGUUUAUUUCUGCAAGAUAUUGUGAUUACUAGAAGUUAUGUACCUAUUUACGAAUUUUGUGACGUAUUGAAUUCUUGAGAUAUUGCAAACUACUGUAAGUAUUUUCAUACUAUACGUAGUAUGUAUAUUUUGGAAACUAUACUUGCUUUACGGUGAGGGGUUAUAAUGUUUUCAAAAAGCUUUUUAUAAAACUUUAUUUUUAAGCCCACUCAUCCUUGUUUUUCGUCCCUCCAGGAUUUAGUGGCAAUGUUCGUGUCGACGAGGAUUUCUGGCAAACGUUGAUAUCGGAGACUACUUCCGAUGGUAUAAUUCUCAAUCUACUAUACUGUACUUUACUUAUGCUCUUAUAUCACGUGUGAAAUGAGUUCAUUCACGCUCACUAGCGCACUCUUAUACUUAGGCACUUCUAGAUUUAAAUUUACUCACAUUUUUCACAUCACUACUCAUUAAUGAAAUCUUUAUUUUCCUAAAAGAUUAUUGCCUCAUAUGAGAAAGUCCCUAUAAUAUAAACCCUAAAUUUGAAGUUUACAUAAUUUUAUGUGAUAAUUUCAUUGGAAGCUAAUUCUUUUAGUUAAUUUAACUUGAUUUUAUUGUAAAAUAUUUUUUGUGUAAUAUUAUUACCCAAAAAGGUUCAAAAUUCUCAAAGCCAAAUUUUAUUCCAAUGGAGUUUUAAUGAAAAGUCCGCGGUACUGUUCACUUUAACGAAAAACCACAUUUUUACACUAAAAAUUCAAACUUAGUACUAUUCAUUUUACCUUUUAUUUUGUCCUUAUCAUUAAAACUCAAAGUUUUCGAGCCAUUUUCAUUAGUUUUCCUUUUAUUUGGGAGUUUUAACGAAAAGUCCGCGGACCCGGCUUUGCAACCCGGACCCAGCUUCUCUGCUCUCCCAGUUUCCAUACACUCUCAUCCCCUCCUAUUUUGUGCGAUCACGAUUAAGCACGUUAACAUUUUAUAUUGAUUUUUUUAUAGACAUAAUAAGACAAAAAACGAUAGUGAUAUAAAAUAUUGACGUGACUUAACAUUUGACAAAAAUUGAAGAUAAUUUUGUUUUUUUGACUAAAUGAUCAAAAUAAUUGGUGGCGAAUAAAAUCAGAAAUCUCACUUUGAAGAAACGAAACUUCCGACGUGGUGGGCUGCGACUUUUGACUGAUUGAGAGUCCUCCAUCCGCAGCUCCUCCGUCUUCCUCCCAAGCCUUUUACCUUUUCUUUCUUUCUUCUCCAAAACUAGCAAUCUGAGAUUUGAACCUCUCUCUCUAAGAAGCAGCGGCAUGCUUUUCCAAACGUAAUCUGCAAUUUAAUCAAACAGCCACCGAAUUUUCUGGAAUCCUGUCAACGCAGAGAUGCUUCGGAUUUUGAUCGGUCAACGCCAGCUGCUUACCUGAGCUCCAAAAGAUCCAACAGUGAUGACGUCCUCCACCUCUGUUUCUGUUUGGCUGAUUCUGCUGUUUGGCUUCUUUCACCUCUACAAGCUUGCUGCCAAUGUCGUCUCUGUGUGUUAUUGAAUUUGGGAGUGUUUGGUUGUGGGAACCGGAAUGAACUAAUGAAUGAAUGAAUGAAUGACUGAAUGACUGGAAACAUUCCCGAAGAGCUUGGGGGUUUGUCAGACUUGGUGAGCUCGGAUCUUUACUUGGCAACCUUGCAAAACUGCGUUUCCUAUAUGAACCCGCAUCCUUUUGUUAGAUAAAAUCUAUCGUCUUUCUUUUUUAUUCGAUAUGCUAAUCUGCUGUUUUUAAUUGUUCCAUUGGAGUGACUUUCUUCCUUAAAGUCCUUGUGCCGGAUGCAUAUAAUUUAUAGUAUGAUCCCUGGUUUCAAGAUUCACAAGAAGGGAACAUCCAGUCAUUGCAAGUCCUGUGAAUUUCAUACACUUUCAUCUCAGUAAGAGGGAGGAGAGAGUGAAAAGUUACUAAUUUCUCUACCAUCGGAGAAUGCAAAUAACAUAUAGUUUUGCCAUGGAAUGCAGGGAUCUUUCAAAUAACAAUCUGACAGGGAAUAUUCCAGUUAAUGGAUUCUUUUCACUUUUUACUCCCAUCAGGUUUGUUGAAGCAACUUUACUCUUUUUCUUUAACUUUAGGGACAAAAAUAACAAUCUGACAGGGGAUACACUUUCAUCUCAGUAAGAGGGAGGAGAGGGUAAUAUAGCUUGAUCAAGUUGGUGUUGUAGUUGUUGUAUGGGAUGCAGCUCAAAAACUUUUCUUUGCGCGACCUACAAGUUGCAACGGAUACCUAUAGCGACAAAAAUAUUAUUGGUAGAGGUGGAUUUGGUAAGGUUUAUAGAGGACGCUUAGCUGAUGGAACUCUGGUUGCUGUAAAAAGACUUACACAGGAGAGAACCCAAGACGGGGAACUACAGUUCCAAACAGAAGUUGAAAUGAUUAGAAUGGCUGUCCACCACCGCAAUCUGCUUUGUCUGCAUGGUUUUUGCAUGACACCAACAGAAAGGCUGCUUGUAUAUCCUUAUAUGGCUAAUGGAAGUGUGGCAUCUUGUUUAAGAGGUACUCAUCUAAAUUGUUUGCUGCGUUGAUGAAUCUUUUUGUUUUCACGACGUUAAAUUUUUUUUCGAUCACAUUGAUAUAAUGAAUUUAAAAACCUGACCAAUUUGGCUUGGAGUAUCAGCACUAAUUUUUUUAAUGUUUUUUUUCCUUCAAUUUUAAGUUACCUUCUCGAUGCUGAUUUUAUUUCUGUUUAAUUUGAAAAGGAUGACAAGAAGACCCUUUUUUUGGGUAGGACGGGUGGUAUGAUAUGUGUUAGACCACAUUACCUAUUGCUUGUAAUUUGAAAUUCUCCUCUCAUAAGUAUGUGGAUAUAUUAUUGUAGGUCGUCCGGAAGGACAACCUGCACUUGAUUGGCCAAUAAGACAACGCAUUGCAUUGGGAUCUGCAAGAGGCCUUGCUUAUUUACAUGAUCACUGUGAUCCAAAAAUUAUUCACCGUGAUGUGAAAGCAGCAAACAUAUUGUUGGAUGAGGAAUUCGAAGCAGUUGUUGGAGACUUUGGGUUGGCUAAACUCAUGGACUACAAGGAUACAUAUGUUACCACACAUGUAUGUAGCACAUUUGGUCAUAUGGCACCGGAGCACUUUUCAACUGGAGUGUCUUCCGAGAAAACUGAUGUUUUUGGAUACGGAGUCAUGCUUCUUGAACUCAUCACUGGGCAGAGGGCUUUCAAUCCUCAGCUUGCGAGUGAUGAUGAUGUCAUGUUAGUUGAUUGGGUAUGCAUUUACGUCUUUCUGUUUGUGUAUGUAGCUAGUUUAUUGUUAUAUGAUUAUUUCCCAACAACAUUUGCAUUUCCUUAGUAAUUAGCUUUUAGAAAAUAAGUUUGGUUUAAUUAGCUUUUAUUAGUUAGAGUUAUGAUUAGCUGUGUAGAUUUUUUUAUCUUUAUUUAUAACAAUCCAAGGUUUAAACUGUCAGAGAUUAAUUAUUGCAUUUCCUUAGUAAUUGUUACUAUUGUUGUUGCUUCUUUUGCCAAUGUAUUGGCAUUUUGUGAUUUCUUGAAGAAUUUGGCAUAUGUUUUGUGUCGAUCCUAAUUUCCUCAUCAUCUCCUUAUUCUUGCUAUCUUGGCCUCUCGCUUUUUCCUAUUCUCUCUAUUGCAUCUUUGUCUUCUCUUUGCAUGAUAUCAAUAUUUGAAUGACGAUACAUUUUUGUAAGCAGUUUGAUUUUCUGUAGAAAAAAGUUUGAACAUUACAACACAUUUUUGUUCUCCUAGAUUCCCGCACCUUUUGUUUCAAAUUGUCGAACCACCCGACAAUUUCUGUUUUAUUUUUCCUAAAAAAAUUAGGUCAAAUGACUACUGAAAGAUCGGAGGUUGGAAAGACUUGUUGAUGCUGAUCUAAAUGGAAAUUAUAUUGACGAUCAAGUGGAGCAGCUGAUCCAAGUAGCUCUACUGUGCACACAAGGCUCCCCAGGGGAACGGCCCAAGAUGUCAGAGGUUGUCCAAAUGCUUGAAGGCGAAGGCGAAGGUUUGGCUGAAAGAUGGGAGGAGUGGCAAAACAAGGAGAUGAUCCGCCAAGAUUUCAACACUAUUCAUCAUCCAAGUACUUGGAUCAUAGACUCACCUUCUCCUAAUUUUGUGUUGUACUAUUUCUGUGAGUUUGAAGAAAUGGAUAAAAAGAAAGGAAAACCAAUGAAAAAGGCUUGAAAACUUUGAGUUUUAAUGAUAAGGACAAAAUAAAGGGUAAAGUGAAUAGUACCAGGAUUGACUUUUUAGUGUAAAAAUGUGGUUUUUCAUUAAAGUGAACAGUACCGGAUGCUUUUCGUUAAAGUUCCCUAAAAAGAAUGACAUGUGAUAGAGAGUUCAUCAUAUAGCUUCUGACUUUAAGGAUUUUUCAUUUAGUUCUAGUUCAUGUUGCGCAAAAAAUAUUAGGUAACACUGCUACUGGGGCUAUUGCAGGAGGGGUUGCUGUUGGUGCUGCUUUACCGUUUGCUGCACCUGCAAUUACACUUGCUUAUUGGCGACGGAGAAAACCACAGGAUCAUUUCUUUGAUGUACCUGGUUAGUGAACUAUAGGAGUAAUAUAGCUUGAUAAAGGUGGUGUUGUAGUAUGGGAUGGAGGUUUCACUAAUCUACUGUCUUUGCAGCUGAGGAGGAUCCAGAAGUUCUUUUAGGACAGCUCAAAAGGUUUUCUUUGCGCGAACUACAAGUUGCAACGGAUACCUUUAGUAACAAAAAUAUUCUUGGUAGAGGUGGAUUUGGUAAGGUUUAUAAAGGACGCUUAGCUGAUGGAACUCUGGUUGCUGUAAAAAGACUUAAAGAGGAGAGAACCCAACGUGGGGAGCUACAGUUUCAAACAGAGGUUGAAAUGAUUAGCAUGGCUGUCCACCGCAAUCUGCUUCGUCUGCGUGGUUUUUGCAUUACACGAACAGAAAGGCUGCUUGUAUAUCCUUAUAUGGCUAAUGGAAGUUUGGCAUCAUGUUUACGAGGUACUCUUCUAAAUUGUUUGCUGCGUUGAUAAAUCUUCUUGUUUUCACGAAAUUAAAAAAUGGGUAAAUUACAUUUUACACCCUCAGGUUUGAGUGUAAUUGUAACCUCAUACAAUAUUUUUAAAACAUUUCAAUUUUAUACAUUUCCUUAUCAUUUCUAGCAAUUUCAUACAUCUGUUAGUCAAACCGUGAGUUUGACUGUUAAGGAAUGACAUGGCAAAUGUGAGGUCCACAUUUUUAUUGACGGGGAUGCCAACUAUGAUUCACGUGGAAUAAAAACAAAUAAAAAAGAUUAAUAAAUAGAAAAUUAAAUUUUUUUAUAAUUAAAAACUAAAAAAAUAGAAAAGAUAAAAAAAAUGGUGUUGUUCAUCCCUUUCCUGCUCUCACCCCGUCCCCGCAUUCUUCAUUUCCCCCCGCCCACCAUCGCCACCUUCCCUUUCCUCAGCCACUGCAAUGAAUAGACCACAUUACCUGUUGCUUGUAAUUUGAAAUUCUCCUCUCAUAAGUAUGUGGAUAUAUUAUUGUAGAUCGUCCAGAAGGACAACCUGCACUUGAUUGGCGAAUAAGACAACGCAUUGCAUUGGAAUCUGCAAGAGGCCUUGCUUAUUUACAUGAUCACUGUGAUCCAAAAAUUAUUCACCGUGAUGUGAAAGCAGCAAACAUAUUGUUGGAUGAGGAAUUCAAAGCAGUUGUUGGAGACUUUGGGUUGGCUAUACUCAUGGACUACAGGGAUACACAUGUUACCACAGCUGUACGUGGCACAAUUGGUCAUAUAGCACCAGAGUACCUUUCAACUGGAAAAUGUUCCGAGAAAACUGAUGCUUUUGCAUACGGAGUCAUGCUUCUUGAACUCAUCACUGGGCAGAGGGCUUUUGAUCUUGCUCGGCUUGCGAAUGAUUAUGAUGUCAUGUUACUUGAUUGGGUAUGCUUUUACGUCUUUCUGUUUCUGUUUGUUGCUAAUUUAUUGUUAUAUGCAAGAUUAUUUUCCAACAAUAUUUGAAUGAGGUCCACCUUUGAGAGUUUUAACGAAAAGUCCACGGUACUGUUCACUUUAACGAAAAAUCAUAUUUUUACAUUAAAAAGUUAAUCCUGAUACUAUUCACUUUACUCUUUAUUUUGUCUUUAUCGUUAAAACUCAAAGUUUUGAAGCCUUUUUCAUUAGUUUUCCUUAAUAUCUUUCAUAUUUUAUAAAAUAAAAAAAAAGACAUAAUGUUGUUGAAAUUCAACGAUAUUCUUGCUUCGAUCUAUUGUUUCCCUAAGUCCAAAUCUUGGAAAUUAUGUUUCAAUACUCAUUUUAAAGAAAUGUUAUAUAAUAUACUGUAAAUUAGGUGUAUCUCUCGAUACCAAUGUUGCUAUUUAUUUAAGCCAAAAAUAAUGGGUCUCGACACCUAAUCACUUUAUUUCAAACCGCUAAUCUCAUAUGACAUUCUUAAUCAUUGUAUAUGGAACAUUUCUGCAAUCAUUUUAGUUGGUUCUUUGCAAUACUUUAAAAACCUAUUACUCAUCAUAGAGCUGCCAAGUUCCUGUCUAAUUAAUGUAAAAAUCACUUAGUCUUUUUUGGCCCGAAUAUUGAAAACAAUUAGAAUCAUGGAUCAAAGAAAAGAAAUAAUACUUAACUUUUAGAAAAUAACUUUAGUUUAAUUAGCUUUUAUUAGUUAGACUUACGAUUAAGCUGUGAAGAUUUAUUUAUCUUUAUUUACAACAAUCUAAGAUUUAAAUUGUCAGAGAUUAAUUAUUACAUUUCCUUGGUAAUUGUUGUUAGUAUUGUUGUUGCUUCUUUUGCCAAUGUAUUGGCCUUGCUGUGAUUUCUUGAAGAAUUUGGCAUGUGUUUUGUAUCGAUCCUAAUUUCCUCAUUAUCUCUUUAUUCUCGCUAUCUUGGCUCUUUCUUCUUUUUAUUCUCUGUUUGCAUCUUUGUCAUAUGUUCGCAUCACAUCAAUAUUUGAAUGACGAUGCAUUUUUGUAAGCAAUUUGAUUUUCUGGAGAUACUGCGGCCCUUCAAAUUUUGAACAUUACAACACAUUUUCACUCUCCUAGGUGCCCUCACCUUUUGUUUCAAAUUGUAGAACUAUCUGAUUUUGUUCCUUUUUAUUUUAACUAAAAUAAUUAGGUCAAAGGACUACUGAAAGAUCGGAGGUUGGAAACACUUGUUGAUGCUGAUCUAAAUGGAAAUUAUGUUUACGAUCAAGUGGAGCAGCUCAUCCAAGUAGCUCUACUAUGCACACAAGGCACCCCAGGGGAACGACCCAAGAUGUUAGAGGUUGUCUGGAUGAUGGAAGGGCGAUGGUUUGGCUGGGAGGAGUGGCAAAAAGAGGAGGUGUUCCACCAAGAUUUCAACCCUAUUCAUCAUCCAAGUACUAAUUGGAUCACAGACUCAACUUCUCAUAUUCCUCUGGAUGAGUUGUCUGGUCCCAGAUGAUAUGCUCGUUGGUUCUGUCCCCUGUAUACAUGUAAGAAGCCUCAGAGGACUGUAGAAGGUCCAUUUUGUAUUUCAGUGAUACAACAUUUGUGCAUAUGUUUUGUCUUUGUUUUCGAUUUUGUUUUUGUCUCUCGUAUUUUUUAGAUCACAAAAAUGGAGCUGGUGCUGUUGUAAUUUUUAUAGGGUUAACUGGCAUUACGAAGUUAUAUGGUGCUAGCAGGAAUUAGGAAGGGCCAUAAAAGCACCCAUUCCUGAUGAUUUAUGUAUCUAUCCAGAAAUUAGUUCAGAUUGUCGAGUAAAUAAUCAUUCUGAAGUUAUAACUAUAUAUAUUUUUUAGUGUUCCAAUAGAUCCUAUAGAUACGAUAAGGACACUAGGUCAAGUGCGUUCCUAUAGAUCCUUUAGAUACGAUAAGGACACUAGGUCAAGUGCACGGCUGCUUGUGGACGGAUAGUGUUUGAAAUUUCAUCGUGAUCAUUGCAAGUGUGACUUUGUGGCACUACCCUUAUAAGUACUUGAACUAAGGCAUUAGGGAUCAAGAGAUCACUUUGUGUCAUUCCAAAACAGGAAUUUGAGCUCUGUCUAUCCUCUUUAAAGUAUCGUCAAUGGGGAUCCCUCUACUAUCUUUGAGGAUUUAUUUAAGACCAACUGUAGGGUAAGACCCAAACCUAAAUUUCUAAGUUUAAACAAAAUAAAAAUGCAAUCUAAUUGUGGGAUUUUUUUGUUUUUUUUGAACAAAAUAUAUUAUCUAGAUUAGGUUAAGCUUUACAGUGGGCUAGUAAUAAUAUGGUUCAAAUUUGUCUUUGGCGAAAAUCGAACCUAAAGACCUCUAUUAUAUGUGAAGAGAAAUAUCAGUAAACUGUAGUACUAGAUAGUAUCUAAUGGUUGGACUUAAAGCUAAAAAGUUUGGCUUUUACCCAAGCUAAACCCAAAUUUGGGUUUUGUAUUUGGCAGACCCAAAUUUUUGGGGGCCCUACCUUUUUUUUUCUGAAAAGCAACGGGCGAAUGAUGUAUUGAAGUGGCCGACAGAUGGGUCCCUCACCUAGCAGAGUCCCAGCUGCAAAACAGUAACAGUUUAAGCAACUACGAGCCAUUCGAUUUGUGGGCCAUUGGUGAUCAACGGUCUAGGUUAAAAUCCUUUCAUGCUUUGCAAUCUUUAAAUUUUGAUCUAAUUGUUCAUAUAUAUAUUUUUUCAAAUCUAACGGUAAAAUAAAUCCAACUACUGAAAUUUAAAUUCAACGUCAAAAAUUAUUUUAUUUAGAACAUAUCCAUUAUACAUUUGGAUGGUUGGUGUGGUUUGUUCGGUUUUGAAUUUUUUGUUGAAAUUUAAUUUUUUUAAUGUCAAAACACUUGUCAAAUUAAAUUAAAAUAAUAUAAUUCAAAAGUAAAAAAUUUAAAAAAAAAUCCUACCGAAAAAAAAUUAGGGUUAAAACUAUAUUCCACCACAAUUAGUACAUUUUAGGCCAUGAAAUUUAGAUCUUGAUGGUUGGGUGAUAUUCACUUCAUAGACUUAAAUUCUGUCUUUUGAUGGACUAAAUAUUUGGGUUUGGGUGUAAAGGUUGGAGCUGGUCUAAGGACUUUAAUGAAAUCUUAUAUUUCUAAACGAGUUGCCUCAUAUGAGAAAGUCCUUAUAGUAUAAAUCUUAAAUUUGAAGUUUACAUAAUUUUAUGUGAUACUUUCAUUGGAAGCUAAUUCUUUUAGUUAAUUUAACUUGAUUUUAUUGUAAAAUAUUUUUUUGUGAACAUUAUUACCCAAAAAAGUUCAAAAUUCUCGAAGCCAAAUUUUAUUCUUUAGAACUACAAUAGCUUUCAUUAUUGGCUAUGUCAUGGUCUAUUAUUUCUGAUCAGAAUCAGACCUGGACUCUUUGCAACGCUUGGUCAACUAAAUGAAUUAUUAAUUAAAAGUAGCUUGAUAAUCAUUUUGUUUUCAAUUUUUAAUUUUUAGCUUAUACUUUUCUAUUAUGAAAUUAAUCAAAAUGGUUCAUGAAAUUGGCAUAAUUAAUCAUUUCGGUUCCUGAGAUUUGAAAUUGCUAGAAGUGAUCCCUGAGUUUGUUAACUAUCAAUUAUUUUGAUCAUUCGAUUAAAAAUCUCUAUUGAAUAAGAAGCAUGUUUAUACCAUAUUUAGGGCCUCGUAUUUAGACCUCGUAUAAAUACUCGGGGGACUUAAAUGUAAUUAUGUGAUAAAGGAAGGGGCAAAUAUGUAAUAAGUGAGGAGUCCUUAUUCUAUAAAAGGACCCCUCACCCUCACAAUUAGAAAAAGGCCUCACUCUCACUCUCGAAAAAGCCAAAUUCUUAGGCCCUCUCACCCUCUCUCAACGCUCUCACUCUCAGAGCUCUCUCUCCUUCAAAUAAAUACAAUCAGUGUGGACGUAGCACAAACCUUGGGGUGAACCACGAUACAUCUUGUGUUAUUUACAUUUCAUGCAGAUUCACGGUCGGAUUUACGUUGUUCCAAGACCUCCGGUUUUGUGCAUCAACAUUUGGCGCCGUCUGUGGGAAACGACACGAAAAGUUAUGUCGGUUCUCUCUCAAUUUUUCAUCUCCGCCGUGAAUCUGCAGAAAUCCAAGAACCCAAAAACCUCACUUUUUGGGUUUCUCCAGAAAACUUUCGCAGACCUCCAACCACCUCUGCCUCCUCUCUCAGUCAGUCAACACGGAAACCAAAGAUUUCAGCUGCAAAUUCACCUGCUUUUGCAGCCCAUCCACGCCACCAUGUCCUCAUAUUUCCACCGAGUUCCAAAGUGCUCACCAGAAAAAAUGAUGGCUUCCAUGUCUUUCUCUACAACUUUUUCAACACCUUUACAGAUUUUUCUCAAGCAAAAACAAAAAUAAGCACGAAUUCUUUAGCUUUAUGCCCUCCCAUGGCGUGUUGGAUCAAAUCCUCACUUGGGUCUCCUAAUCGGCAUUUUUUCGAAAUGGGUGGUCUUUCCAAUCGGAGAAUUUUAAUGGGUUUCUGAUCAAAUCUUGGUCUUUGGUUGUCUAUGCUAAAGCAGCUACAACAACAUCUCUAUAUAUCUCUCAUGUCCCUCAUCUCUAUCUUGUCCCUCAUCGCUCAGCCUGACACAUCAAUCAACACACCCAACUGAAAGAGGGAUAGUUUCGUGAUUACCCUGAUUCCGCCAUGGGCAUUCCCUGCGACGACAUCGUCGUUAUCAAGCCGAGGAAGGCUCCUGAUGAGCCAUCCGUCCUCACCGUCAACUGUCCCAACAAGGCCGGCCUUAGCUGCGAUUAGGAGAGGUUAAAGGAUCAGCUCUCGUCCGCGUGCCCGUCGUCGUGCUUCUUCUCAUUUUAUCUCAAUCAAAUCUCCAACGUCCCAACGCCUUCUUCGGUCUAUCUGUUGAAGUUUUGGUGCCACGACCAGAGAGGCUCACUCCACGAUGUUUGAGCCAUUGUGCGAUUUGGGCAAGAAUUUAUGGGAUCUCGCGGUGGCCCAGAUGGUUUAUGAUGAUGUUGUUGGGGUUGGAGUGGUCGAGGAGAUCAAAAAUCAAUGGCUUUUCUCAGUUUUCAGCAUCUGUCAAUUUGGCGGAGGAACGAAAGAUGCCAAAAUUAACUGCUGAGAGUACCUGGGAUUUUGAGAUGUGAUUCAUUAUUGUAUCUGAUAAACAACUUAGAAUUGUCUCUGCCACGUGUUCCACACCGAGUGCAUUGACAGGGGGCUGGAGUAUAAUGAUCAUCAUCAUCACCAUCACGACGAGGACAAUCACAAAACUUGCCCGCUCUGCAGGACUCCAUUAUUGAUGUCAUUGUAGAAGCGGAGCCUGAGUUGGGACCUUGCAGGCUUAAAAGGGACGGUCAAAUAAGAGGCUUAUUUCACUGAACAAAGUUAAACAGCAUGAAAAAGGAGAUUCAAUGUGCGGAGAUCCAGUAUGGAACUGGUGCAAUUUCAGGUUUCUUCCACCAGGACCAUGUCCAAGUCGGUGAUCUUGUUGUUAAGGAUCAGGACUUUAUUGAGGCAACCAAAGAGCCUGGAGUCACGUUUGUGGCAGCUAAGUUUGAUGGUAUUCUUGGACUUGGAUUUCAACAUAUCUCAGUUGGAGAUGCUGUUCCUGUCUGGUAUAAUUUGGUCAAUCAAGGUCUUGUUAAAUAACCAGUUUUCUCAUUUUGGUUAAAUCGCAAUACAGAAGGGGAAGAAUGGGGUGAGAUUGUCUUUGGUGGGGUUGAUUCUAGUCAUUUCAAGGGUGAGCAUACAUAUGUUCCCGUGACUCAGAAAGGCUACUGGCAGUUUGAUAUGGGUGAUGUCUUAAUUGAUGGUGAAUCAUCUGGAUUUUGUGCUAAUGGCUAUUCAGCAAUUGCUGACUCAUGCACCUCCCUAUUGGCUGGACCAACGGAAGUAUGGAGAGGUGGUGGAGGCUGUGAUCAUGAGGGAUCGUGCAAAAGGGGAGAUAAGAUUAAUGUACUUAUCAUUCCUUGUCUGCCAUCUACAAAAGAGAAAAGAAGACAGAAACAAAAGCAAAAGUAAAGCAGAAAAGGAAAAGAGAAAAGAAGAAGAGAGGAACAUGGAGACAUUUCAAAAGCAAGGAAUAAACACCCCACCAGAAUGAUGUAUUUUUUUUAUCUUUCGGAAAUAUCUGUAUAAACCCCAUCAGAGGGUAACUAAAAAAAAAUAGCAAAGCCCAAAACAAAUGGGCUGCCAUGUUGUGGAGGGCGAAGGCUCAUAAGCCCGAAAUAGCACCAACCAGGUGAUCAAAAGUACGCCUAGUACUCCACAAUUAUUCGGCAACCCACCGCUAUUACCACCAACCAGGUGAUCAAAAGUACGCCCAGUACUCCAAAAUUAUUCGGCAACCUGCCGCUAUUACCACCAACCAGGUGAUCAAAAGUAUGCCCAGUACUCUAAAAUUAUUCGGUAACCCGCCGCUAUUACCACCAACCAGGUGAUGAAGUGUACAACCCGUACUCUAAAUAUCAUUUGGCAACUAGCCAUUCAUGCCACCAACCAGGUGAUGAAAUGUAAACCCGUACUCUAAUAUCAUUUGGCAACUAGCCAUUCAUGCCACCAACCAGGUGAUGAAAUGUACAACCCGUACUCUCCUUCAUGCCACCAACUAGGUAAACAAAAGUACGCCCAAUACUUCAAAUUAUACAUGAGCAUUACUCAUGUCAAUCAUACAUAAACAUUCAUGAGCAUCACUCAUAUCAAUCAUACAUAAACAUUCAUGAGCAUCACUCAUGUCAACAUUCAUAAGCAUCACUCAUGUCAACAUCCAUGAGCAUCACUCAUGUCAAUCAAACAUUCAUGAGCAUCACUCAUGUCAAUUAAACACUCAUGAGCAUCACUCAUGUCAAUCAGCUUCAAAAGCUUCAUUUACAAAAGCUCUAGCUUCAAAAGCUUCAUUUACAGAGCUCCAGCUUCAAAGCUUCACUUGCAAAGCUUCAUUUACAAAGCUUCAGUGCAGGAUAUACAAAUACCACCUCCGAACAACCGCCACUUCGGCCCAUACAUGGAUUCAAUUUGAAGUCUCUAGCUAACAGACUCUAUUGACUGAAGACUUGAGGGACUACACUAUACACCAUAUAUUGGGCCUCAACUAGGCCUCAUGAAAAAUACUUGGGGGACUCUAGCCCAUUAUUUAUGUAUUGAGGAGCGAGCCCUUAUUUUAUAAAAGGGAUUCCCUCACCAUCAUUAGAGCAGCAUCAACUAUAGCCCAUUAUUCAUGUAUUGAGGAGCGAGCCCUUAUUUUAUAAAAGGGACUCCUUCACCAUCAUUAGAGAGCAACGCCGCCAGCUGAGCAACCGUCUCGCCGCGAGCAUCAACUCUAGCCCAUCAUUUAUGUAUCGAGGGAACGAGCCCUUAUUCUAUAAAAGGGACUCCUCACCAUCAUUAGAGAGCAUCAACUCUAGCCUAUCAUUCAUGUAUUAAGGAGCGAGCCCUUAUUCUAUAAAAGGGACUCCCUUAUCUUCAAACGCCGCAAGCCGAGCCAACCAAGGCGCCAUAAGCCACGAGCUGAGCAGCAUCGCAGCAUGUGCUACUUCUAAUUGAGCGUCAUUUCAGAUUGAGCACCGCCUCAUAUCAAACAUCAGUUCAAGAUAACAUCUAGUUACUUCGGCCCACACAUGGACUGAAUUUCAAGUCUCCAGCCAAAAGACUCUCUUGACUGAAGACUUAGGGGACUACUGUUUAUACCAUAUUUAGGGCCUCGUAUUUAGACCUCGUAUAAAUACUCGGGGGACUUAAAUGUAAUUAUGUGAUAAAGGAAUGGACAAAUAUGUAAUAAGUGAGGAGUCCUUAUUCUAUAAAAGGACCCCUCACCCUCACAAUUAGAAAAAGGCCUCACUCUCACUCUCAAAAAAGCCAAAUUCUUAGGCCCUCUCACCCUCUCUCAACGCUCUCACUCUCAGAGCUCUCUCUCCUUCAAAUAAAUACAAUCAGUGUGGACGUAGCCCAAACCUUGGGGUGAACCACGAUACAUCUUGUGUUAUUUACAUUUCAUGCAGAUUCACGGUCGGAUUUACGUUGUUCCAAAACCUCCGGUUUUGUGCAUCAACAAAGCAAAUGACAAAAAUAACCUCAAUUCAAUAAAUAAUGGACCGUAAUAAUUUGACAAAAAUUGAAGAUAAUUUUUUUUUUUUUUUACGAAAUGAUCAUGUUGAAUAAAAUCAGAAAUCUCAAAACAAAGUGAGGAAUUGCAUAACAAUUUCAGAUAUCAGCUAAAAAGUAAAAAAUAAAUAUAAACAAAAGAAGAAACGAAACUUCCGACGCUGUGGGCUGCGACUUUGACUGAUUGAGAGUCCUCCAUCCGCAGCUCCUUCGUCUUCCUCCCAAACCUUUUACCUUUCUUCUUUCUUCUCCAAAACUAGCAAGCUGAGAUUUCAACCUCUCUCUCUCUAAGAAGCAGCGGCAUGCUUUUCCAAACUCAAUCUGCAAUUUAAUCAAACAGCCACCGAAUUUUCUCUAAUCCGGUCAACGCAGAGAUGCUUCGGAUUUUGAUCGGUCAACGCCAGCUGCUCACCUGAGCACCAACGGGCCCAACAGUGAUGACGUCCUCCGCCCCUGUUUCUGUUUGGCUGAUUCUGCUGUUUGGAACCUCCAUAAGCUCGCUGCCAACAUAGAAGGUAUGUCUGUGUCUCUGUGUUUUUGAAUUUGGGUGUGUUUGGUUGCGGGAAUUGGAAUGAACUAACGAAUGAAUGAAUGAAUGAUUGGAUUUGACAGGUGACGCAUUGAACGCGUUGAAGACCAAUCUAGCUGAUCCAAACAAUGUUCUGCAGAGUUGGGAUCCGGCUCUCUACAAUCCCUGCACCUGGCUUCAUGUCACUUGUAAUAGCAAAAACAGGGUUACUGUGGUGUAAGCAAACCCAACAAACACCUCCUUUUCAAUUCAGUUCAAUUCAAUUCGAUUCGAUUCAGUUCAGUUCAAUUCACUUGUAACAGCGGAAAUAGCAUUACGGGAAGUUUUUAACAUUUUUGCUCCACCCAGUGAUCUUGCCAAUGCCAAUCUCUCUGGUCAUCUGGUGGCACAGCUUGGUGUGCUUUCCAAGUUGCAGUACUUGUAAGCAUGUUUUUCGCUCUGAUUUUUUGUUCGGGUCUUAUCCAACUGUUCCAUCACUAUGCAUUCGAAUUGAAAUUGGUAUUGAUACAUGACUGAUGAAUUUCACAACUGCAUUUGACAUUAUUGAAACACACUUUCUUGACAGGGAACUUUCCAAUAAUAGCAUAACUGGAAACAUUCCCGAAGAGAUUGGGGGUUUGUCAGACUUGGUGAGCUUGGAUCUUUACUUGGCAACCUUGCAAAACUGCGUUUCCUGUAUGAACCCCCAUCCCUUUGUUAGAUAAAAUCUAUCGUCUUUCUUUUUUUAUUUGAUAUGCUAAUUAUGCUGUUCGGCUCAACCCAAUAUUGUGGUCAAGGCAUGUAGCUUGAGUUUUGACUUUUUCUAGGAGUGGGUCCUGAACAGUAAGGGGCCUUAACAUCGGAAUAUUUACAUAAAUAUACUAGCGAUAGAACCCGCGCGAUGUCGCGAGUUUUAAAACUUUGUUAAACGUAUGCAAAUAUAUUAAAAUCUAAUUAUAUCCAUAUCAAAGAAAUAUCUAUUUACAUCCUCAUAUUCAAUAAGGGAAAAAGAUAUAUAUAUAAAUGUAGGAUAUAUCACAUAUUAAAAUUUGUCUACAUCCAUACCAAAGUCUAUUUGCAUCCUUACGUGUAAUAAUGAACAAAAGAUAGGUAUUUGAAGAAUACAUUACAUAGAAAAAGUUGUGGAUUAAGUUGUUCAUACAAAUACAAUCAUAUAAAAAUAUAUUCAUUUUCCUUGUCCCAACUUUUCUACAUUCAGUACUUCACUCUUCUUUCUUCUUUGUUUUUCUGUAGAUGAGGAUGUACAUUUUUCCUCAAGUAAUCUGUUCAAGAUAAAUUCAUUGGUUAGGCUUCUGAAUCAUAUGAGCCUUUAAUUGGCUUAUAAAAAUGCUCAUUUUUCAUAUGAGAAGGACAACCAGUUUAGAGUUUCGAAAGAUAAAUAAAAAUUCCAAUUCUCACCAAGAAAAAAAGCCGAAGAAAUACAAUGGGUUUAGAUGAGAGACGAAGUCUUUACCAACUAACAAAUGAAGUAAAUCAUGUUGUUCAAUACUUGAGCUUCCAAUUUAGUACACUUACAUCUUCAAUCUCCAACAAAACAAAACAAAAAAAUUGAAAAAUCAUUUAGUAUAAUUGUCACAACAUGUUGAAGAUGCAUGUACCCAACCAAUUGCUUCACCGUUCACCUAUAUCCUCGGUGCUAUAAAUUCGAAUAAAAAACCAGUAAAUAAAAGUGGUUAAGCAAAAACCCUCACUUCUCAUUACAUGUUGAAAUUUCUUUAAGCUCUAAACCUACUCCCAUUGUGUUACUUUUGUAGUGCAUGUUGUGCCUUGGUCGUUCGUCAGUGCAGAAGUGAGAUUCAGAUUGUCUCACCAAACUACAGACCCACAGUUGAACAGUUUAAAUUACAAGAAAUAAAUACACUGAGAAAUUUACGAGGUUCGGCAAAAAUCUGCCUACGUCCUCCAAGAGAUAUUGCUCUUCACUAUGAGAAUAACUAGUACAAGAUACACUUGAGUUAAAUUAACAUAACCCAAACCCCAAUCCUUUGUACCCUCACAGAAUUUUACUAAGAGCCUCACUCUCUCCAAGAGUUUCUCACUCUCACUCUAUAUUUUCUCUCCUUUGUGUUCUCCUUCGGAUGCUCUCUCAAAUGCAUUUCUAAAUGCACAAAUAUUGCAUCUAGUUAUACGCAUACACUAGCAACUAUGCCAACAAACAAGACCCAAAAGUCUUAAGUUCACAUGACAUAAUUAUCACCUAGCCUACCUAGCAUGCAUCAAAGUCUAUACCUAGUCUAUAAAGUACAACUUUUCUCCAUUUGUCAUUUAAUACAUAUAAAAUAAAACAUGCACAAUAAAACAUGCACAAUUGUGUGCAAGCAACCAUAAAGUCAAGUCUUGCUUCCAACUUUGCUUGUGGUAGUCACCAUGUCUUCUCUUGAAACAAGACAUCCAUGCCAUAACCGAAAGCCAAACACAAAGUGGUUACUGCCAUUUCCCUGUAGCACUCAGAAAGUUACACUAUCAAAAUUGUUGCCAACUCAUAAGUAUAUGAGCCAAGCACAACAGUGCAUACACUACAAAAACCAAAAAGAAAAUGCUGCAAAGGGGAAAUUGGAAAAUCAUAUCACCAGCAAACAUUGCACGAAAGGCAUCUGAAGAAGCAAGCAGGCAAGUUCUGUGAGCAUACCAUCUACCUGCAAUUGGUCAGUAGAAAUUUAAAGAGGUACUUUAUGUUAACAAUACAAUCACACACGCUAAUUGAAUACUCUGUGAUUAAGAAAAAGAAGAGGAACUCACGCUGUGCUUCUUGAAAACUGGCGAGAGAACUGGAACUGGGUUGGAAGAAUGUACUGGAAGCAAAUGGAACACCCCAGCUUUUUCAGCCUCGUCAUGAAAUAAUAUUAACAAUUCGGUCAAGUAUAAAACCAUCUGCCAGUUAUGGUUUUUGUAAAUUAUGUAGAAGCCAAAUAUCUAAUAAAUAGUCUAACAAUAAUUAAGUAAUCUGGUUUAAGAUUAAUCAAAAAGCUUGGGAAUUUCAGCUGUUAAAUCACACCUCAGGCUGCAACUCGACAAAGUCUGCGAAAUCACAAUCCAAAAUGCGAUCUUCAGUCUUCCGGCCUCUGUUGCAAAAAUUAAUCCCACAGUCCCCAAAAAAUAAAAAACUUGAAGUUUGAUUUGAAAUUAAAAAUUCAUUCUUUGAAGAUAAAUUCCAAAAAUUUAAAAUUAUAUGCGAGAGAGAGACCUUGUUAAUAUUCGGAGUUAGAGUGAGGAGUUCUCGAAUUGGGAGCGGCGGGGUUUCGUUGCAAAUUUUCCGAAGAAAAUUUCCACGAAUGAAGGGUCAUCGCGAUUUUUUGGCUGGAGGAAAUGAGGUUUUAAGAUUUUUGGAAUUUUGAGUGAAUGGACAGUGUGGCUGGUUGCGAGACAGAGAAAGAGAAGUUGGGGUGUUUUCGUCCCCUUUAAUAUCUGUUGUUGUUGCGAUUAUUUGUGAUUUAAUUAGCACUUUCUUUUCCACGAAAUAGGCGCCCAUACAACAACAGCUUGUCAGGGCGUAUUCCCGUGACUCUGACUAACAUUCAAUCAUUGCAAGUCCUGUGAGUUUCGUACACUUUCAUCUCAGUAAGAGGGAGGAGAGGGAAGUUGCUAAUUUCUCCGCCAUCAGAGAAUGCAAAUAACAUAUAGUUUUGCCAUGGAAUGCAGGGAUCUUUCAAAUAACAAUCUGACAGGGGAUAUUCCAGUCAAUGGAUCUUUUUCACUUUUUACUCCCGUCAGGUUUGUUGAACCCACUUUACUUUUUUUUUCUUUACCUUUUUUCCUGCGGUGGCUGUCCCAGCGGACGAUCUAAAUGAUGUACUGACUGCUAUUAUUCAUUUUGUAGUUUUUCCAAUAAUCCUCGUCUGAAUCCACCUCCUCCCGUUUCUCCAACCCCACCAAGUUCUCCAGGUUUUUACAACUUAUACUGUUCUUGUGAUAUUAACUCAAAUUUAUUUUGAGAACAGUUGAAUAUCAGAGUACUAGACUACAAAAUAAGAAUAUUAUUACACAAAUAAGAAUGGCAAAACGGUUGCAAAAUUUAAAAACACUACAUUGUGACACACUUGUUCUAAAGAAAAUAACAUGCAUCCUAUUUAUAAUAAAUUAUAACCUUAAUCUCUAACAAAUCCUAAUUUUAACGGGCUGACCUCAAAUCCUAAACUUAUUACUUUCCAGCUGGCUCUGUUUUGUUUCACAGACACUUGUGAUAUCGACUCCAGUCCAUUGGUAGUUAAUGUUUUUUCUUGGUGUUUUUCUGUUAAAUUUUUUUCAUAGUACAACAUUAUUGUUGGAAUCACUGCUGUAAAGAUUCUAAGAAGAUGGUAGUUAGGAAAGGAAUGGAUUGAGGAUCCGAGAGGAUACUCCUAAAUUCCUAUGAGUUUGAAGAAAUGAAUUAAAACAAUGACAUGUGAGAGGGAGUUCAUCAUAUAACAUCCGACUUUUAAGGAUUUUUCAUCUCGUUCUGGUUCAUGUUGUGCAAAUAACCCUUCCCUUUUAACUCUGGUGGUUCAUAUUAGGUGCCGGAUUCGGUGAAAUAGUGUCCGGAUUCUGUAUCGGUACGGACGUACCAUUACUUUAGCGAUUCGGUGGUGAAUUCAGUGGUUCAUCUAAUCAUAUCUGAUAAUUUCUAAUCAGAUUACAGAAAAGAAAACGCACCUGUAAUUUUUGGAAAGAGAGGAGCGAAACAACUGGAAUUUUGGGAAGCUCGGUGCUUCUGGUUUUCAUCGGGCAGAGAGAAGACGAAGAGGGAGAGGAAGAGAGAAAAUAUUACUUUCACUUUUUGGAUUUAAUUCUUUUGAUUCGAACAAAAUUUGUUGAAUUGAGGUAGCAGAUCUCUUGCAAUCUACAACUCUCCAACAAAACAAUGACUGUGUAUUUCAAGUUUGUAAAUUUUCACCUUUUUUUUUAUUUUUCACCAGAUAAGUUAAUUUCUAGAUUUGUUCAAUUUGGACUGUUAGAGAGAUUUGUAAAGGGUGGAGAGAUCACGUGUUUGUACAAGUGGUGAGAUUCUUAUGUUAAAAAUUAUUAAUAACAUAAAAAAUAAAAUUUUCCACAAUUUAUAUAAUAACACGUGAUGUAUCACUUGUGUUACGAUCACAAGGAUAAAAUUUUCAAUAUAAUGGAUCUAGAGUAAAGUACAAAAAAUUACUUCAACUAUUGGUGUCACGACACUUUCAUACCUCAUCUUUUAAAAUUGAUAAUGUCAUACCUCAUCUUAUGAAUUUGUGUCCAUGUUAUACAUUCCGUUAGGUUGGCGUGCAUUUCUCAGUUAAAUGCUGACGUGACUUGAUCUUGGGGCAAUUUUCUAUUAAAAAAUUAUUAAAAACUAAAAAAAAAUAUUUAAUAUUUUUUAAAUAUUAAAAAAAAAAAAACCAAACAAACACUCAGUCAGUUCAUCCCCUCCCCCCUUCUCUCUCUUCUUCCCCCUUCCUACAACUCCAACCCAGAAAAAAGAAGAGAGAAAAAAUAAAAAACCAAUUUGUCUUCCCCCUCCCCACCCCCUCUUCUCCCCGCACCCACUCUCCACACCCAACCACCCCACCUUCGCACCCAACCUCGCACCCAUUACCUGCAACCCAAAAAAAAACAAAAAAACCCAGAAGAAAAAAAACCAUAUCCCGUUGAGGUGGAAUCGGGAAGCCUUCGCCAGGCCGAUUCCGAAGGUUGAGAACCUGGGCGCGAAGAAAAUGGGGGGAAUGGGUGUGGAGGGAAGAGGGUGGGUGCAGGGGGGACGGACGAACUGGGUUUCUUAAAACAAAAAACAAAAAAACCCAGAAAAAAAUAAUAAUAUCCCGUUGAGGUGGAAUCAGACCUGCAGCGAACACAAGGAACUGUUGUCCAGAGAUCCCGCCCAAAAGAGUUAUGGGUUUACCAAACUCUGUUUGGGUACCAAGUAUUGGAACCGGGUAAAUCUAGACCCUUCUCUGCGACUAGAUCAUAUAAUCUCCAUAGCUGUCCAAAACGGACUACUAUUGGAUCCUCUUAAGUUGCUUUCCAGCGACUAGAGACGAUAGGCGCAUUGAAGAAUUCUUCGAUCGAGACUGCCAGAUCAAUAGCCGUCGUCAAGUAUGCCUUCGCCAGGCCGAUUCCGAAGGUUGAGAACCUGGGCGCAAAGAAAAUGGGGGGAAUGGGUGUGGAGGGAAGAGGGUGGGUGCAGGGGGGACAGACGAAUUGGAUUUCUUAAAACAAAAAAACCCAGAAAAAAAAAACCAUAUCCCGUUGAGGUGGAAUCGGGAAGCCUUCGCCAGGCCGAUUCCGAAGGUUGAGAACCUGGGCGCGAAGAAAAUAGGGGGAAUGGGUGUGGAGGGAAGAGGGUGGGUGCAGGGGGGACGGACGAACUGGGUUUCUUUUCUUCUUCUUCUUCUUCCUCCUUCUUUCUAGGUUUUUUUUUGGGGAGGGGGGGGACUGGGUUGGGUUAGGUUUUUUUUGUUUUUUUUUUUCUUUUUCUUCUUCCUCCUCCUCCUUUUUUUGGGUUGCAGGGGGUUGGGUUUGUGGUGGGGGGUUUUUUUUUUUUUUUUCCUUCUUCUUCUUCUUCCUCCAUCUUCUUUCUGAGUUUGUUGUUAGGGGGGGGGGAGAACUGGGUUGCAGGAAGAUGGGGAGAGAGAGACGGGUGGGAAGGACGAACUGACUUGAGGUUUUUUUCUUUUUUUCUUUACUUUUCUUUAUUAUUUUAAUAUUUAAAUAAUAUUAAAUAAUUUGUUUUAGUUUUUAAUAAUUUUUUAUUAACUUUUUAAUAGAAAAUGGGUCUCGGAUCAAGUCACGUAAGCAUUUACCUGAGAAAUUCACGCAAACCCUAACGGAAGGUAUAACAUUGGCAUAAAUUCGUAAGAUGAGGUAUGACAUUGUCAAUUUUAAAAGAUGAGAUAUGAAAGUGUCGUGACACCAAUAAUUGAGAUAGUUUGUACUUUAUCCAUGGAUCUAUCAGCACUCUUUUCUUAUUAUGUUAGUGGAGGGACCCAUCUGCAGUGUUGAUAUUUUUUAUAGAAGAUGUAAACAGUCGGUGACCCAUAGCAUUUCCCAAGUUCCAUAUUAAUUUGACAAUAUUUAUAUUAUUCUGAUUAGAAAUUUAACAGAAUUAAUUGUUUUUUAUUUGUAACAAAUAAUUGCUUACAAAUAAUCAAUUCUAUUAAAAAUAAUUGCUUACAAUAAACAAUAACUAUAAUUAAAAUGUAUAUAUAUUAUAAUUUUUUUUAAUUUAUAUUUUUUAACGAAUUGAGAACGAAUCGAGCUAAAUAUCAUAUUGUCUAUGUGUACACACUAACGAAUAGUACUAUAGGUUACAACCGAAUUCCGUACCCGAACAGAAUUACGAACUCGCACCGUGCCACUAAUACUGCGGCUGUUGCUGGUGCUGCUUUGCUGUUUGCUGCUCCUGCAAUUGCACUUGCUUAUUGGCGACGAAGAAAAUCACAGGAUCAUUUAUUUGAUGAACCUGGUUAGUGAACUAUAAGAGUAAUAUAGCUUGAUCAAGUUGGUGUUGUAGUUGUUGAAUGGGAUGCAGGUUUCACUCAUCUACUGUCUUUGCAGCUGAGGAGGAUCAAGAAGUUCAUUUACGACAGCUCAAAAGGUUUUCUUUGCGCGAGCUACAAGUUGCGGAUACCUUUAGCAACAAAAAUAUUAUUGGUAGAGGUGGCUUUGGUAAGGUUUAUAAAGGAUGCUUAGCUUUGGCUUUUGGUAGAGGAGGAUCAAAAGUAUUAUUGGUCGAGUUGGCUUUGGCUUUGGCAAGAUUACAAUUCAACAGUCCGGUCCCAAAUGAUAUGCACAUUGGUUCCGUUCCCUGUAUACAUGUAAGAAGCCUUCAGAGGACUAGAGAAGAUCCAUUUUGUAUUUCAGUCAUACCACACUUGUGCAUAUGUUUUGUCUUUGUUUUUUAUUUUGUUUUUGUCUCAUGUAUUUUUUAGAUCACAAAAAUGGAGCUGGCGUUGUUUUAAUUUUUAUAGGGUUAACUGGCAUUACGAAGUUAUAUGGUGCUAGCAUGAAUUAGGAAGGGCCAUAAAAGUACUCGUUCCUGAUGAUUUAUGUAUCUAUCCAGAAAUUAGUUCAGAUUGUCGAGUAAAUAAUCAUUCUGAACUUAUAACUCUCUAUAUUUUUUUAGUGUUCCUAUAGAUCCUAUAGUUACGAUAAGGACACUAGGUCAAGUGCAUGGGUGUUUGUGGAUAGAUAGUGUUUGAAAUUUCAUUGUGAUCAUUGCAAGUGUGACUUUGUGGCACUACCCUUAUAGGUACUUGAACUAAGGCAUUAGGGGAUCAAGAGAUCACUUUGUGUCAUUCCAACACAAGAAUUCGAGCUUUGUCUAAUCUCUUUAAAGUAUCGCCAAUGGGGAUCCCUCUACUAUCUUUGAGGAUUUAUUUAAGACCAACUAUAGGGUAAGACCCAAACCUAAACAUUUGAGUUUAAACAAAAUAAAAAUGCAAUCUAAUUGCGGGACUUUUUUGUUUUUUUGAACAACAAAUAUUUUCUACACGAAAAGGGUGGGAGAUUAGGUUAAGCCUUACAGUGGACUAGCAAUAAUAUUGUUCAAAUUUUCUUUUGGCGAGAAUCGAACCUAAAUACCUCUCACUUAUAUGUGAAGAAGUAAUACCACUAAACCGUAGUACUAAGUGGCAUCUAAUGGUUGCACAUAAACCUAAAAAGUUUGGCUUUUGACCCAAGCUAAACCCACAUUUGGGUUUGUAUUUGGCUGACCCAAAUUUUUGGGGGCCCUACUUUUUUUGUUUUUGAAAGGUGAAAAUUGUUUAAAAAGUAAGACUACUUGUGGGUUAAACUACCGCAAACCCUCAGUUAGCAUGCAAGGUUUUAUGAAGAGUUAAUGAUCUCAUUCAGAUUCAGGAUGGAACUUCAUCUUCCUUAAUUGUACUAAAGCAUAUUAACUUACAUGACGUUAUGUGUGAAAAUUAUAAGAAAUUGCGCCAUUCAUCUAUUGUCAAUUGGUUUAAAAAGUGAAACUCAUUUUCUUUCAAAUUUUCAUAAAACUGAGGCUAAACGUAUGUGGACCUAUUGAAAAUGUUACAUUUCGAGUUUCUACUCUAAAAUUUUCACAAUUUAGUGCGAUUAAUUUUGUACUUAAUUUCCCAUUAAGGUAGGUCAUAGGCCAAUUAUGUACCAUGAUUACCUCUUAUUAUAAGAUAGAAGUGGGGAGAUUCCAAACAAUAUUUCAUCAGCCAAAGACGAAUCAUAUUGGCCUAAUAAAAGAAAGCUAGGACGCGAUUUGAAAUAAUGAAAACCGUUGUGGCAUAUAUAUUGAUGUUAAUCAAACCAAUAUAUCACGAGAUAAAGUAUAAUUCUACUUUGUUUGAUGAAUCCAUCGAAAUCCUAUUUAAUUUAAGGAGAGGGGCAGAUUACAUCGGUUUGGUUUGACAAUAAAAAAUAAACUGAAUCAAAUAGUAUUCAGUGGUUCAGUUCGAUUCAAUUUUGAUCAAUACCACUAUUCAAAUCGAACUAAACCAAAUAAAAAAUGGAGAGAUCAUAUCGGUUUGAUUUGGUUUGAUUCGGUUGGUUUAAGCCUAUUCAACACAUAAAUAAAAAAACAUUAUACAUUUUAAGAGUUUUAUUCUUCUAAACAUCACACAUCUUGCGCGUUCCAAUUGGAUUGAAAGAUUAAAUUUUUCGGAACAUAAAAGUUCAUCAAGUCAAAUAGAACCAAGUUUCAAUUAAAUAAAGUCUCAUGCUAGCAAACAAUUUAUUAGCUAUAAACCUCAUAUAAGCAUGAAAUACAUAUAAUCAGCUUAUUGUUAAUAAUCAUUACAACUUUGUAAAAUUAAACUAAUUAAUAAUUCAAAGAGACAUGGUCAGUUCGAUUUGGUUUUGAUCGAUUUUAAAAGUAUCAAAAUAGAACCAAAAAAAAAAAUAAAUUGUUUUGGUUCGAUUUUUAAAUUAUUUGUUUUUACUUGAUCACCAAACAGACCAAAUUAAUUUUGUUUGAACCAGUUGAUUUGGUCGGUUUUAAUGCUCACCCCUAUCCAAAAUGCAUGGCUACCAACACUAGAUAAAUUGUAAAUGAGAAAUGCUAAGGAGACUCUCUCAAAAGUAGGACUCUCCAUAGACUUUCUAUCACCUCAUGUUUUUUGCACAAUAUUUUAUAAUGUUGGCACGAAAUUAAUGUUAAACUAUGACGACCCGUCCUUAAUUUUAUGAUUUUAGUAAUUUUAAAAUGUGUGAGAAUUGACGAAAAUGCCCCUAGAGGCGAGGGCGUUGACUUUGUUGACGGUCUUUUUGUGACGCGUUCGAGCUACUAUUUCACCGCAUUCUCGAACUACUCGACGAUACAGACACGUAGGCACAAGCAGAAUCGAAUUCGGAGUUGCAAUGAAAAUUUUACAGAUUUACGAAGUCGAAGAGCAUUUUAAUAAUUUCAUCAUCAUCCUAAAUAUUUGGCUCUCUAUUAUUUUAAUAUUUUCCCUUGAAUUUUUGGUCCAGUGGGACUCCCCACUUCUUUUCCCCCAAAUCUCAUGCUUCCAAAUCACUCGGAACUCUCUCUCUUCCCUAUAUCUUCUUCCUCUCAUCUCUCACCUUUCUCUUCUCUCUGUAUAAAAAAAAAAAAAAAAAAAAAGGUGGAGCCGAGCAGUACAACCACCACCUCACCACCUUUCCAGUGAACUACACCUGAACCACCAUACCAUGUCCCUCUGUCUCUCUCUUGUUAUGCAUCUUUCUCCCUCAAUCUCCAUGUCGUCUCUCUCAUCUCUACAAACAACAGGACAACCGUGAGGUUAAGGUCAUCACCAUCGCCGUCUUCCAUGGCAGAUGACCAUCGAACCAAUGUUCCCAAGAUAUCAUAUCAUCUGAAACCUAGCCUAGGUUUAAUUCCAGACAUCCCAACGGGAAUAGCUCUCGAAUCUUAGAGUUCUAACACUGCGGAGACUAUUCAGCAUGGAUCUCACCACUUUCUAUGAAGGUGAGUGUCGAUUAUGCUUUGUGUGAUCUCCCCCUUGUGGUUUAAAAUGACUUUUAGGCUUAAUGAGUGAAGUUUGGAUUGGUUUCAUGACAUAAAUGGCAAGGGAGGAAGUUUUCCAGAUUUCUGGAAAAUUAGUAACCGUGGUCAUUUGACAACUUUCAGGCCAUUUUUUUGGCCAACACCGACCUUAACUCGGCCUCACCUUGGUAUGGUGUUUCUCUCUACAUUUCUAACUUCAAAAUGGCUCUUGAAUUAUUGAUUUUGGUGGGAGAAUCAAGCUCGAUAUAAGCUCUGGAAGUCGGACAAAAAACCUGCAAAAUGCAGGCCUUCGCAAGGAAGCUGAGUACAAUGGUACUUGCAGGCACGUAGGCAUGCGUGGGCUUUACAUGGGUCAUCGGCGCGUGGAGAAACCCGAGGUCCCUCUUUAGGUUUCUCGACAUGCUGGACCCGAAUCCGCCCUCAUUUUUCCCCACACUUUGUAUGAAAAUGUGUUUAUACGUUAGUACUUUACGUAUUUACAUAUAUGGUUUCGUUUCUAGGCGAAAUGCCUCGAAAGGACUCUCGAUGCUACGAGUCGGGUUCGACUCAACGACAGGAUUUGUGAGUGGGUCUUUUCUUGAUACAUACAUACAUACAUACAUACAUACAUACAUACAUACAUAUAUAUAUAUAUAUGUUUAGUUUCCAUAUAUACAUCUAAUAAUGAAUUUUCUAUAUGAAUGUCAUAGUUAAAUUAAUAUUUAUAGAAAAUGACGUAACGAAGAGAAUUAGGAAAAUCAUUAUGAAUCUUACGGGAUGCCUUAGCUAAAUUUACGGCUAUGAAUAAUAUUAUGUUGACUAGAAUUAUCAAAUCAUUAUGGCAUGGCUACAUUUAUGUUAUUUGCUCAUCGUUUGCUGCACCGGUGUUAGUACUCGCCUGGGCCAGGGCCAAUCUUUCACGUGUAUGUGCACAUCGCACUGUACGCUCACUUUGGAUCCCUUGUAGGUGUCAGUCCUAUCGUACAGGUUGCAAUAGGCAGCUUCGACUUGUAUGUGUUGCGCAUAGCGCCAGUCUUCGCAUGAUUGUAGUACUAUAGUGUAUAUCAUUGUUACACCCAGUCCUAUUCAUGUCAGAAUACCUCUGCAUGAACUCAUGUGUCAGCAUGUGUCAAUGAGNCCACUAAACCGUAGUACUAAGUGGCAUCUAAUGGUUGCACAUAAACCUAAAAAGUUGGCUUGACCCAAGCUAAACCCACAUUUGGUUUGUAUUUGGCUGACCCAAAUUUUUGGGGGCCCUACUUUUUUUGUUUUUGAAAAGCAAUGGGCAAAUUAUAUUAUAUACUAAAAGAGAAAAACGCCUGAAUCACUAUUCAUAGUACAGUGGAUUUUCGAUUUUGUCCUCGCUUAUUUGUCUAUUAUUAUAGCCUUGCCCCUAUUGCUUUGCUGUCAAAUGCUUAACAGUUUCGCGACGCGUGGAAAUUCCGGAGCCUUCUUUGUUAUUUUUCCCUCACCAUUUGGCUGUUUCCUCGCCCACCGCAUAAUUCUUCUACUGCUGCCAAUCCAUAAACCACAACGCGAAUCCGACCGCCUCUUCUUUCCCCUUCACUUUCACGGUUCCACCCCAACAUCAUCGGUAAGCUUUGAAACGUUUUUAUGGGUGUGAGUUUCUGAAUGCAUGUCUAAACUUUGAUUGGAAUUUGGUUGUUUCCUUAAUUCCCAUCAACCCUUCUCACAACUUCAUCUAAAAUGCUCUGCAUGUAAGAUCUGUGUUCGUGUAGGUCAUUUCAAAGGGAUUUCAAGCUGGGUUGCAAAGAUUUGAUUCAAGUUUGUGGAUUUGGGUAAGAAAUUAAGAACCCCUAAUCUUUUCUUAAGGUUUUAAAUGCCACAUGCAUCACAAUAAUCCAUUCAAAAUCACAAUUUUCCUCCGUGCUUCCUCCGUUAUUUCUUCACCAUCAACCUUGCGGCAACUUCCUUGCCGAUUCGAGCUGCUCGACCAUGACAUGAACGCCGCCUCCACACGUUUGACUCGCUGUACGUCCUUGGCUUGCCGCUCUCCUUAUCUCCCGGUGAUUCAUUCUCCUCAUUGGAUUCUAUUUGGGUGAGUUCUUGGUUGAUACUCGCCCCCAUGAUUUUUCAAUUUGGUUUUUUUGGGUGUCUUUAGUCGUCGUGUUGAUAAAAAUUUUCUGCGUUUUUUUGCUUUUCGUUUGUGGUUUUUUUUUAAAUUUUUUUGGGGGUUUGAUGAAUGAAUUUGUGUGGGAGUUUUUGAAGUUUUAUUAAUUAUGUUGUAUUUGGGCCCCUGGGUAAGCUUAGAAACCUUUGUAGAUGUCGCAUGCAUGUAGAUUUUUCUUCAAACAUAUGAAGAAUUGUUAGUCUGCUGUACAAUUUCCUCUGCCACCCUUGGAAAAUCAACAUGCACAGACAUUUUAGAAUUCUUCAUUUAAAUUUGCAGGGUUCAGGACAGUUUUUCUUUUAAAGUUAUGGGUUCUUUUGAUAUGAUUUUUUUUUAUUUGAAUUAUUCAUUUAAUUUUUGAGAUCUUUUAGCAAAUCUCCAAAUUGACUCAUAAUGAUUAGGCUUGAAACAGAUGCUAUAAAUCAGUUUUGGUGGAGGAGUUGUUCCGCAGCCUCAGGAAAAAUAGAGGAAUGUUUUUGAAAUAAGGUCUGAUCGAAACUUUUGUAUAAAAUUUCACAAUUUUUGAGUUUUAAGCCAUUCAAAUUCACAUUUGCCUACAUUAAUAUAUUAAGUAGGUUACUUAUUGAUUUUUUUUUGGGAUUUUCUGUUUUUCAUGGUUUCCUAAUCCUUUGUCCGACUUGAAUGUGUAGCUAAGCAUACCAGCAAAUCAAAAGGUUUUUUGAGACGGAGGGGUGCUCUGGCUAUUCCAAUAGUUUCGGUACUGCUAGCAUGUGGUAUUAAUCAUUGUGUUGCCUUUGCCAUGCUAAGCGGAUAAAAAAAGAGUAAAACAAAAGGUAUGAGAAGUAGUCAUCCCCUCUGAAUUGUUUAACGGUUUGAUCUAAAUAAAAGCAAUGCAAUUUCAUCUUAAUGAAUGUCUACAAUUGGUUCAUGUGAUAGCACAGACUAUACGGAGAGAGAUGAACUUGAAGAAGCGAGGAGACACCCCGAGUUGCAAUAUUUCGGUCUGAGCACCAUAAUAGCAGCCACAGAUAACUUCUCACCCAUUAACAAACUCGGCCAAGGGGGUUUUGGCAUUGUUUAUUAGGUGAAUCCCAAUUCAGAAGUCUUACACAUUUUACAAUUGAAUGAUUUCUUCUAAGCAUUAUACAGUAAUUUUGUUCUGUUUCUUAUGUCUACUGUUUUUUUUUUUUUUUUUUUUUUUUUUUUUUUUUUUUUUUUUAUAAAGCAUGAAAGCCUAAUAGUAAUACUGAUUCAUUACUUCAGGGCCACUUGCCAAAUGGUCAGAUUAUUGCUGUAAAAUAUGUAGAUUGCACUUGAACAAGGUUUGUUUCUCGAAUCACAUUCAUUAGUUAGAUUAUUAAUGUGCUUCGAGAGGGGUUUUCAAUAUGAUUUUGUAAUUUCCCUUGAGAACUGUUUACACGUUUCCAUAUGGGUUUUUUGAACUACAGAAAAUUUUGUCAUUCCUAAGAUUUAAUUGUUGUUAUUGUAUAGUUUAAUUAUUUUCCCCUAAUAUGAUUGAAUGGUAAUUAGUUGUAUAAAUUUGGCUUUGACCGUUCUUUCUCCUCCUUGGGUUCUAUUUCCGUCUCUGACCCCAUUGAACUUCAGUUGAGCUCAAGUAAGCAGUCCUAGCGGCCAGCCUUCUUUUAGGUCACUCAAGGAUAAUUGGGAUCAAAUAUUCGCAUUUUCAUUGUUUGAAGUAGGAAGCACCACUUUUUCCUCUAAUUUUGUUUCUUCUGAAAUUUAAUGGUUCUGAUUUGAAUCAUCUUGCAGAAGAUUGAGAAACAGAAGGUUGGAGGACUAGAUGAUCAAGCAUUGACUUAUUUUUAAAGAAAAGGUAAACCACGAAAAUCCCAAAGUGAUAUCCCACGACCUACAACUAUUUUUGUAUUUGAUUAAUUUAAUUCUUAAUAUUUUUCCGCGUUGAUUUAUGUUGAACUAUGUCUGAAAGGUGGCCUUUGUUCAGAUUGAAAUACAAAAUUAAAUCACAUUUGAUCAGUUAAAUCACAUCUAUAUUAAUGUGCAAAUUUGCAGGAUAUUGACUAUAAUAUUCACUUAGUCAGUUCUCUGUAUUAUCCUUUCUUCAACAGGGGUUGAGAACAAUAUUUAAUAUGUAGGUUGAAUUGAUUGAAUAUUUGGUUUUGUUGGUUGAAAAGUUUAAUAUCGUUUAUUUGUAUGCUCUGAUCUUUGGUUGACGCUGUUAUGUGGAAAAGACCCCUUAUAAAAGAUUAGAGAUGUAACUGGUACUUUGUCUAUAUUCCUGUAAUUUGAUUGUAUAUUGUUUUAUUUACUUUUGUAGGUUAGAGUUUUUAAUUUUUAUGGGUUUAUUGAAUGCGUAAUUCUCUAAGCAUUCGAAAAGGUAAGAUUUGGGAGAGUGAGAAUUUGUAAUUACCUUGAGAGGAAUUCUUUUUAUUGCAUCUACAAAAUAUUUAACAUCAUCUACUAACAACGCUUUGGCUUUCCAGUAAACAAAUAACAGAAGGACCUCCAUACAUUCAUGAGCAUCACUUUUAUUUAGUGGAUUACAAUGAAUUGUUAUCUCACGUAGAUAAAGUUGAAAUUCUCAUAGGUAAUUAAACACAUUUAUAAAUCUACAUCUAUAUGCCAUUUUUGUUUGCCAACAUUUUUUCAUCCUAUAAUCUUAUAAUAUUGGAUUGCCAAAUUGCAAGAUAUUGUGGGACGCAUCACAUCAGUGCAACCAGACAGUUUUGAAUCCCGCAGCAUUGCGCGGGCUUCACUGCUUGUGAUUUACUAAAGUGGCCGACAGAUGGACCCCUCAGCUGGCAGGGUACCAGUUGCAAAACGGUAACAUUUUAAGGGACUACGAGCCGUUUUAUUUUUGGGCCAUUGGUUUUUGGGCCAUUGGUGAUCAACGGUCUAGGUUAAAAUCUUUUUUUGUUUUGCAAUCUUUAGAUUUUGAUCUGAUUGUUCAUAUUUUUUUUUUCAAAUCUAAUUGUAAAAAAAAUCCAACUGCUGAAAUUUAAAUUAAAUGUCAAAAUAAUAAAAUAAUUUUUUAGAACAUAUCCACUUUACAUUUGGAUGGUGUGUGUAUUGAAGUUUGGUUGGUUGGUGUGAUUUGUUCGGUUUUGAAAAUUUUGUCGAAAUUUAAUCAUUUAAUGUCAAAAUACUCGUCAAAUUAAAUUAAAAUAAUAUAAUUCAAAAGUACAAAAAAAAUUAAAAAAAAUCCCACCAAAAAAAUUAGGGUUAAAACUAUAUUCCACAACAAUUAGCAUUUUAGGUCCUGAAAUUUAGGUCUUGGUAUUUGGGUGAUAUUCACUGUUCAUAGACUUAAAUUCCGUCUUUUUAAUGGUCUUUUAAAGGGGUGUGUAGUCAAAUUAGGAUUUGAUAGCAUUUUGAUGGAUUUUAAAAUCUAAGUGCAUUCAAUUAGGAUUUUAAAAGAUUUUGAAAUCAUAGUGUAGUCAAAUUAGGAUUUUAUAGGAUUUUAAAGAAUACAUCAAAAUCCAAGGAUAGUCGAUUAGGAUUUUAAAUGAGUCUGCAGAUGUCUAGGUGUAGUGAAAUUACCAAGGAUUUGCUAGGAUUUUGAUGAGUGAUGGAUUUUAAUGGAUUUGAGGGUUUGUGGUAUAAAUACCAAAUGUUAUCCAACCCUUACCCCUCAAAUUUCUUUUCACACCAGAGGAACAGUCUUCUCCAUUUGAGAGGACCUACUGUGAACUCAGCCGACUUGGACUUCUAUGGCUGGUCGUGAAAUCUUUGCAAGCAUGAGAAGAUGUCCCAGCACCACCAACUUAUUUUUUUCUUUCUUCACCGACUACCCAAACAUCUCACGUAAAUUCCCUUGCUGACUCUUCCUUUCCCUUCAACUACUUCCUAUCUCUGUUGUACUUUUAUUUACAGAAUACACCUUGUUCAAUUUUGCUUUGGUGCCUUUGAAAUGUCACCAUUUAUUAUUAAAACCAAUCAACGUCACUCUCGAAACACGUAUUAUUUGGCUUGGGUUGGAUCAAUUCAUCCAACCUGUAUACAUUCUAAACAUUAUUAAUUUGUGCUAUUACUACGGUAUGAAAAUAUGCAAUUAACUAGUCCUUGGAUUGAGGAUCGUGAUUUCAGACAGUGUAGUAGAAUACACAUAACAAUUAGGGUUUCAAUUGCAGAGAGUUGGAGAGGUUAAUCUCAGCCACAGAGUUUCAUUAAAAAUGAUCUGACGGCAUUGUAUGUGAUUUCUAAAUUUUUUUAAAAUCCUAGGAAAUCCAAGAAAGAAUCCAUACAAAUCCAUACAAAUCUAUAAGAGAAAUCCACAUAAAUCUGUCAAAAUCCAUAUGGAAUUGUAGAGUCCAUUAAAAUCCUUUAAAAUUUGUCACCUAAACAAAAUCCAUUAAAAUCCUCUAAAAUUCAAAUUGAUUACACCCCCUAAAUAUUUUGGUUUGGGUGUAAGGGUUGGAGUUGGUCUAAGGACUUUAAUGGAAUCUUUGAAUUCCUAUAAGUGUAUUGCCUCAUAGCGAACCGGGAUCCUCGCAGGAUCCAUUCCCUAGGGAUCCCGCAAUUCUAUCCGUUCAUCGUAUAUCAUGCGGUCAGUUUUCGUUAGGUACUAUUUACAUUCGAAUUUUAAAUUUUAAAUUUUAAAUGAUUUCUAACCGCACGAUAUACGAUAAACGAACAAGAUUGCAAGAUCACUAGGGAAUGGAUUCGACGAGGAUCUUGGUUCUACAAUAGCUUCACUAUUGGCUAUAGCUUAUGUCAUGGUUUAUAUUAUAGCUCAUGUCAUGGUUUAUUAUUUCUAAUCAAAGUUAGACUUCGACUCUUUGCAACCCUUGGUCAACUAAAUGAGUUAUUAAUUAAAAGUCGUUUGAUAAUUAUUUUGUUUUUAAUUUUUAAUUUUUAGUUUUUACUUUUCUGUUUUGAAAUUAGCCAAAAUGGUCUCUGAAAUUAGCAUAACUUCUCACUUUGAUUCCUGAAAUUUAAAAUUGCCAGAAGUGAUUCAUGAGUUUGUUAAUUAUCAAUCAUUUUGAUCAUUAUGUUAAAAAUAUCCAUUAAAUAAGGAGCAAAUAACAAAAUAACCUCAAUUUAAUAAAAAAUGGGCCAUAAUAAUUUGAUAAAAAUUGAGUGUAAUUUUGUUUUUUCAUGAAAUGAUUAAAAUAAGGGAACUUUAAUGAAAAGUUUAUAGUACUGUUCACUUUAACGAAAAAUCAUAUUUUUACAAUAAAAAGUUAAUCCUGGUACUAUUCAUUUUACCCAUUAUUUUGUCAUUAUCAUUAAAACUCAAAGUUUUCAAACCAUUUUUAUUAAUUUUUCUUUAAAACAAUUUAUAGUGGAUUAAACCAGAAAUCUCAUUUUGAGUGAGGAGUUGCAUAGCAAUUUCAGGAAUCAGCUGAAAAGUAAAAAAUAAAUAUAAACAAAAGAAGAAACGAAACUUCCGACCUGGUGGGUUGCGACUUUGGUUUGGUAUUGCUGUGCUUUGAAAAAAAACUGUUUCUGCUGUGCUGUGAGAAUAAGCAGCUGUGAAAUAAAACAGCAGAGUGUUUGGUAAAUUUUUUUGUAAAAAUGCUUUUGAAAAAAAAAACAGUAUUAUAGUGUUUAGUAAACUUUUAUGUAAAACAGAUGUGAAAAAAAAAAAACCGAUUUUUCAAAGUUGGGUUUUGCAGCUUCCUGUUUUUGGUUUUUUUCACACAAAACUGUAAAAAAAAAAUGUGAAAUUGAAUGUUUACCAAAUACAAUAAAGCUGCCAGCUUUUUUUUAUACCAUUUUUUUUCAGAAUUACCACCGUACCAAAUCAGGGCUUAAACUGACUGAGAGGUCCUCUAUCCGCAGCUCCUUCGUCUUCCUCCCAAGCCUUUUACCUUUUCUUUCUUUCUUCUCCAAAACUAGCAAUCUGAGAUUUCAACCUCUCUCUCCAAGGAGCAGCGGCAUGCUUUUCCAAACGUAAUCUGCAAUUUAAUCAAACAGCCACCAAAUUUUCUGGAAUCCGGUCAAUGCAGAGAUUCUUCGGAUUUUGAUCGGUCAACGCCAGCUGCUUACCUGAGCUCUAACAGACACAACAGUGAUAACGUCCUCCACCUCUGUCUCUGUUUGGCUGAUUCUGCUGUUUCGCUUCUUUCACCUCCACAAGCUUGCUGCCAAUGUCGAAGGUAUGUCUCUGUGUGUUAUUGAAAUUGGGAGUGUUUGGUUGUGGGAACUGGAAUGAACUAAUGAAUGAAUGACUGGAAACAUUCCCGAAGAGCUUGGGGGUUUGUCAGACUUGGUGAGCUUGGAUCUUUACUUGGCAACCUUGCAAAACUGCGUUUCCUGUAUGAACCCCCAUCCUUCUGUUAGAUAAAAUCUAUCGUCU
rnacentral:lncRNA from 1 species